CCAGGUCGACAAAGGUGGGGUGUCUGAAUCUUUCCAUGUAGGGAUAUCGGGUCCAUAUCUCUCGCCCUUGACAGCAUCGGCUGAAGCAAUAGAUUCAAGUUCGGCCAUGUCUUCUUCCGUUAGUUUUACAGACAAUGCUCCCAUGUUUUCAUUAAGAUUCUCAAAUUUCGUUGUACCAGGUAUCGGACAAACAUCAUUUCCUUGAUGAUGUACCCAGGCCAAAGCAAGCUGUGAAGGGGUACAUCCCUUUCUAUUUGCAAUAUCCUUGACCCUCUCGAAUAAGCUCUUAUUAAGCUCCAGAUUCUCGGGUUGGAAUCUUGGUAGACGCUGCAAAAUGUAAAAAGAGUUUGAGCAUAUAUAUCGGUUUCAAUAUUGAUAAUUCAGAUUGUAAAACUACACAUUUUAGAAGCAGGAACAUCACCUAUAUCAUGCACGCUUCAAGGGGAAAAACUUGUAGCAAUCAUUAGAACUAUGUAAUGACAAAGUUUAAGGCCAGGACAUCAUUUGGUACAGCAUUAUCAUUGAAAAGAGGGAUUAAUGCGGACUGAAAUUCAUCAAACAGUUCACUUGGAUGCUCAACUCAACAGGUCGUAUAGAAAUACAAAAUUUUUAAAAAUUUACUUAAUAUAUAUAUAUAUAUAUAUAUAUAUAUUAUUUAUUUAUUUAUUUAUUUAUUAUUAUUAUUAUUGUUGACCUCCAAAAAUGACUCCAACAGGCACCCUAUCUUCGUCCCCUCGAAACCUGCGUAUGUAGCACCCCGUCAAGAGGCAAAGGCGGCCGGAUGAGAAAAAGGUCCGGCGACCGUUUGCACUCCGACGGUCAAGUCAACGGCCGAACGAGAAAUAGAUAUAUAGAGUGCAAUAGUAGAGAGAUGGGGGAUUUGGCUAGAGUAUUUAGAACAUACCUUAACUUGUGAAUUGAAUCCAUAUAUAUAGAGAAAUGAUGUGAAAUGGGCUAAGGCNNNNNNNNNNNNNNNNNNNNNNNAAAUGGGCUAAGGCGGGUUAAUGGGCCUAAGUUCGAGCCCAGUAUGAGGUGAGCAAAGUGAUGGGCACUUCGGCUAGGCUUUUAUGGCCUCGGUGGCGCCUCGGCUAGGCUUCUUAGAGCCUCGGCUUUGAGGCCCAACACUAAUGGGCCUAGCUCGGGUCCAAUAAGGUGGCCCAAUAUGGAGUGAUAAUUCAUAGGCGUAACAGUAGUCCCCCAAGUCCGAGUCGUGUUAUUUAUAUGCGGGUCGGACUUGAAAUCUAAACUCUCAAGUAGGCGAGGUCAUACAGAUUGCCUCAAAAAGAUGGGUAGCUCCAAUAAGCAAGGGCUUACGAAUUGCCUCAAAAAUAUGCAUCGAUCUCGAAUAGGCGAGAACUUAUGAAUUGCCUCGAGAAAUAUGAGUCGCUCCAAUAAAUGAGGACUUAGGAACUGCCUCAGAAAAUGUGUCAGAAUAAGCGAGGACUUACGAAUUGCCUCGAAAGAUAUACUGCGUAUACUUUUUCAAAAUUUCGAUAGCAUCUCUUCUGUAAUAUGGACUAAACCAAUCCUGCGAGGCUUGUGAGUGCUGAAAUGUGAUGAAGCCGAGGUGGUUGAGAAAUCGAACCUACGAGGCUUGUGAAGGCUGAAAUGUGAUGAAGCCGAGGUGGAUGAGAAAUCGAACCUGCGAGGCUUGUGAAGGCUAAAUUGUAAGGCUCAAGCUGCUGAGGCACCUGCUGUCGAGGCACCUCCACCAUUGACUGGGCUUAGUGUAGUUCACUUUUCACUGUAAUCUAUCUUCAUCACAUGCUGUUUUUCUCCGAAGUGUAUUAGCCUCGUUAAGCAAUUGAACUUUACUUAAGCAUAAUAACUAUAACCUGAAGGGAUCCAACGAAUGCUGUUGCAGCCGAACUUAAGCAUAAUAAUUGUAUGAGCCUCGAAAUUCACGUGAAGUGGCUUCUCCCAUUGGCGUUCAGUCUCGCCAAAAGGAGGCAUGUGCUAGCACCUCGGAGUUCAAGCGAGGUCGCCCAAAGAUGGGACGCGAGCCUCUCCUCCGAGGUGACGACGCAUCCCAGAUAUGGUGGAUGGUGCAGCCAUGUUGGGGCUUCUCCCCUUGGCGCUCAGCCUGGCCAAAGGAAGGCAUGUGCUAGCGCUUCGGAGUUCAAGCGAGGUGGCCCAGAGAUGGGACACGAGCCUCUCCUCCGAGGUGACGACGCAUCCCAGACAUGGUGGAUGGUGCAGCCAUGUUGGGGCUUCUCCCCUUGGCGUUCAGCCUGGCCAAAGGAAGGCAUGUGCUAACGCCUCGGAGUUCAAGCGAGAUGGCCCAGAGAUGGGACGCGAGCCUCUCCUCCGAAGUGAUGACGCAUCUCAGACAUGGUGGAUGGUGCAGCCAUGUUAGGGCUUCUCCCCUUGGCGUUCAGCCUGACCAGAGGGAGGCAUGUGCUAGCGCCUCGGAGUUCAAACGAGGUGACCCAGAUGGGACGUAAGCCUCUCCUCCGAGGUGACGACGCAUCCCAGACAUGGUGGAUGGUGCAGCCAUGUUGGGGCUUCUCCCCUUGGCGUUUAGCCUGGCCAGAGGGAGGCAUGUGCUAGCGCCUCGGAGUUCAAACGAGGUGACCCAGAUGGGACGUAAGCCUCUCCUCCGAGGUGACAACGCAUCCCAGACAUGGUGGAUGGUGCAGCCAUGUUGAGGUAAUAUUAGCUUUCCGAAGAUAAGUAGAUGUAACAUGGCUGAGGCAGAAGCAAAAUUCUGAACUGAACAGCUGUACUAAUACGAAUGCAGAGGCUGACCCUGAACUGAACAGCUGUACUGAUAACGAAGCAGAGGCUGACUCUGAACUGAACAUAAUAGAUGUAUACCAGCUGUUGACUUUUUAAGAUCCGCUGAGUGUAUGGUUGCUGCUGUGGUUGUAGGUUCAGCUGUCUCUACAGAACCGCUGACUCAGAGGACUUCACAUGGGAGAUGCUAAAGGUUGUGAAGCUGAAGGUUAGGACGCAGCUUCGACUGAGGUGCUGAAGCUUCAAUGCCUACUUUGAGGAAGGAGCUCAUCUGCCACCGAUGCACUGACCCACAGAGGACGACGCGUUGGGAGAUGGCUAAAGUUUUGUAAAGCUCAGGAAGAAACACAGCCACCGAGGUGAUAACCCACAGGGGACUCCGCGUCAAGUGUGUCUAACCUUUGUAAAGCUGAGUAAGGAGCUCAUCUGCGAUCGAUACAGGAGAUGGCUAAAGGUCGAUAAAGCUUUGACUACACUACAGCCGAAGCAAUGACCCACAGGGGACUCCGCAUCGGGAGGGUUGAAACUUUGUCAAGCUCGGAAUGACGAGGACUUAGAGUCACGCUCGACAAUAGUGAGAAGUGAGGAAGAUAUCUUGCGGAGCCUUAAAUAAAUAUGUGACGAUAUCUCGAACUGUUGGAGUCUUAUAAGCCGACCUUGAAUAGACAAGGACUUAGAGCUAAACUCGACGAUAGUAAGGCGAGGAAAAAACAUCCCGCGAAGCCAGGGAGCAUAGGUCUGGCAAAGAGUCGAACUAUUAGAGUCUUAUAAGCUGGCCUUGGAUAGGCGAGGGCUUAAAGCUAAGCUCGAAGAUAGUGAGGCGCGAGGAAAAGACAUCUCGCGAAGCCAGGGAUGAACACCUGGCGAAUUGUCGAACUAACGAAAUCUUAUAAGCUGGCCUCGGAUACGAGGACUUAAAGCUAAGUUCGAUGAUAAUGAGGCGAGGAGUAAGCAUCCCGUGAGUGAGGUCAGGAAAGGCUCCUUUUGCAAGAGCUUACACGUCUGACAGCUUGACUCGUCCUUUAUUCAAGGAACAAAGACUUCAAACAUAUUGCCUCUUCCUUUAUUCAAGGAGUGAGGACUUAUAAUAUAUCGCCUCUUCCUUUAUUCAAGGAACGAGGACUUCGGUAUGCUUGAAUAAUUCAAGUGCCAUAAUGUGAAUAAGUUUGCCUAAUCAAGAAUUGGCCGAGUAUGAUCUUCUGGGGGUUGCCUCAUAAAUCAGUUCAACAUUCUUUCUUCAGAAAAGUUGAAGAUCUAGCAUGCCUUAAGAGAUUUAGAAGAGAAUUUAAUCAGCCCAAUUUUUAAUAACAAGCGGAAGCUCAAGUGGGGAGAAGAGAAUCACGAAGAUGUGCCGAACUUGAAGAAGAUGACUCCCCUGAAGUGGCCCCAUGCGAAGAAAACCGGGUUUAAGCCCAAUCAAAGAUUAGGGCAGCAAUUGUUCCGUGGAAACAAAUCUAGUAGUCAGACUAAUAAUACCCAAUAUGCCUAAUUUAUAAUCCAUUGGAUUAAAUAAAGACGUAAGCCCAAUGAUGAUUCCAUGUACCAAGAGUAAAAUGAAAUAUAUGUGGCCCAAAUAUUGGCCCACAUUCCUCCAAGAGGCCGAUUCUUUACUCCAAAUCAGAUUGUCCCAGAAUAAUUAAAUUCCAAUUGUCUUUUUGUGAUAAUAAAGUUGACUAAUCAGCAAAGCAAUUGGACAAAAACCAGCAAGUUGCAUGAGUUGACAUUGGCGUGUUCCAUACUUCCAUACGUCUUUCCAAAAAUUAAAAAGCGCAAGGCUCGAUGCUAAUAUAUCUUUUCUCCCCCCAUAUCUGCUUACCACAAGAUCACGGCACUGAAGCAGCAGCUGGUGGUCCGAGUUGCACGCCGGAGAAAGAAACAAAAUCUGAUUGAGCCGUUUUGCUGAAAAUACGGUGUGCCGAAUGUGUUCUUUAUUCAUCAAGAGGAUUACUUGGGACAGUUACUCACCUGGUCGGUUGCUGUUAUCACUGCCUCGACGACCAUAAUCGGAGACUACAGGUGGCCUCGUCGGUAGCACCUUCAAGCUGCAACUUGGCAGAGGAAUUCUAAUCCACCAUAUCGUACAUUCAAAAAUUCUUAAUAGGAUGGUCCUCAGGUUGAAACCAGGAAACUCCUGCUGAUUUUUGGAAAUUCGUUGGUGGAAUAUGUAGAAUGAUUUGUAUAGCAACAAAGUGGGCUUUUUUUGAGGAUGUUUGGUGUGUAUAUAUUUUUGUAAUUGUACGAAUUUUUUGACCCGUGCUUCGCCGGAAAGUUCCUUUUUCAAGGAAUUCUUUCCUGCCUCUUUCCUUGUCGUAUGAAGAAAUUUUCAAAUGCUUCCUGUGGCACCUUUUCUUCUUUUUCAAGACCAUUUUCAUGGCCAAAAUGUUCAUUGAAAAACUUCCUUUUUCAAGGAGAUUUUUGUAUCUCAGUCAGUAGCUAUCUUCUAUCAUUUUUCUUCAUUUCUUGGGUUGCUGUCUUCACUCAUUUGGUACAACACUGACCGGAAAAUAAAAUCAUUUUUUAUGUGGAAUAACAUGAUUAACGUAGCGUUUCUCACAGACGGCGCCAAUCUGUUGACCUCCAAAAAUGGCUCCAACAGGCACCCUAUCUUCGUCCCCUCGAAACCUGCGUAUGUAGCACCCCGUCAAGAGGCAAAGGCGGCCGGACGAGAAAAAGGUCCGGCGACCGUUUGCACUCCGACGGUCAAGUCAACGGCCGAACGAGAAAUAGAUAUAUAGAGUGCAAUAGUAGAGAGAUGGGGGAUUUGGCUAGAGUAUUUAGAACAUACCUUAACUUGUGAAUUGAAUCCAUAUAUAUAGAGAAAUGAUGUGAAAUGGGCUAAGGCGGGUUAAUGGGCCUAAGUUCGAGCCCAGUAUGAGGUGAGCAAAGUGAUAGGCACUUCGGCUAGGCUUUUAUGGCCUCGGUGGCGCCUCGGCUAGGCUUCUUAGAGCCUCGGCUUUGAGGCCCAACACUAAUGGGCCUAGCUCGGGUCCAAUAAGGUGGCCCAAUAUGGAGUGAUAAUUCAUAGGCGUAACAAUUAUUAUUAUUAUUUUAUGGUAAAAGUUGAAAAUAAGUAAUUUAUUUUGACACCAAAAUAAAAGUUAAUUUUAAAAAUAUAUAACUUUUUUAUUUAAAAUUUAGAAAAAAGUAAGUUAUAUACGUAUCCAAACAUAUUUGAAAACAAAAAGUUAAAAGUAGUUGUUUAUCCUUUUGUAGCUUAUGCAAACAUGCUCUUGAAUAAUUAGCUUGCAUUUCAAGUGAGGGCAUAACUUAUAUUCAUAAUUCCAGAGAUUCUUAGAUAUUAUGUGUAUCAUAAAUCCAAAAACUGGUGAUGGUGUGCACAAUGGCUACACAAAAUAAUUCAUAGUUGAAUUGGAAGCUCAGAAGUGAUAGAAGAAUAAAACAAACCAACCUUUCGAAAGUCCACUUCAGAGAAAGUUUCAACGACUUUUGGACCGGAGGAGAAGAAUCCCCGUCCGAGAGGACUGUAUGCUACUAUUCCAAUGCCAAGUUCUCUAAACAAUUGUACCAAGGAUGUUUAGAGUUAGAACUCUAUAUUUCUUACUGGUUCGAAAUAUAAAACCAUUACAAUAAUCAUCAAACCUGCAAGUGGGAAUUAUUUCUGCCUCAGCAUCUCUUGUCCACAAAGACCACUCCAACUGCACUGCUGAAAUUGGAUGAGCAGCAUGCGCCCUUCUGAUUGUAGAAGGUGAGGCCUCUGAUAGACCAAUAUAUUUUACUUUACCUUCUUCCACAAGUUUCUUUAGUUCUCCCAUCUUGCAAAAAGAGAGAUCCAAAGUAAUUAGGAGAGGCUUAAGAAAGAAACAUGCGGAAUCAAGUCUAAGAAUAAAAGGGAGACAUCCACAUAUAUAUAUAUAUAAUCAAAUAUGUGCAACAAUAGGCAGGUUAUGUUGGCUGUAGGAACUCCUCUACCGUAGUGCCAUUCCUGAAGAUUCCAUGUCACAUUUUCUAGAUUUAUCAAAGGUUUGAAUUGUGAGAUUAAACCAGAGCUCGUUUUUUAUACAUCUGACUCAUUAGAGGAAGGUCAGGUUAUAGUUAGCUAUUAAAAUUGAUAAGUACCUCCAAUCUCGUCCAGUGAGAUGUGCACCUCACGUGUCAGUAGAUUCUCAACAGUUUCACCCUACUUCAUUCACUAAGUCAAGUAUUGAAUCUCAGUUUUGUAUAUCAUUGAAAAACAAAUAGACAAAGCCACAGACCCAAACACUACUGUUAAGACUAAAAAGAUUCAGGGUAAUGUUCCUUCUUUUCCCACAUUCCUUCUGCUACCAAAAAGAGCUGACAACAAUCUAAGUAUAAGUCCACAAAAUAUUAUAACUAAACCCCUGCGAAGGACUUCUAAAUAUCUCCAUCAAGGCUGGAUGCAAGAAAAGCUGUAUUCUUUCAUCAGACUUCAAAAGUUUCCGGGUUCGUGCCCCCCCAGCAAUUUUCUAUUACAUUAAUAUUUAUUAAGCUGCUAACUAGAUUCGAAAAUCUUGUAGAUUUCACUUAACAAAACAGCAGAAAUAAUGGAGGAAAGAGCAGUAGUAUAGUUUUGUCACUCUGUCAUUAUUCUGAAAUAGCGUGUAAUGCUUCCUUUCUACAUGGACUAUACUCAGGUUGUAGUGAAUACUCGAAUUUACAUUGAUCACGUGGUAUGGUGCUAACUUGUUCAAAAGUAUGUCUAUUCAACUCCAAUUACAUAACAUGGUUAACAACAUAACACAAUUGAUGAAACCAUUAAACUAUCACUUCGCUUUGUCUCUAAGGUAAAAUUAGAGUUAGAACUUAGAGAUAGCACAACCUACUUGAGUGGGUUGAUCAAAGCUGAUUGAGAACAAUACAGUAGUUAAGAAGACAUACUUCUAAUUCACCAAUUUGUCAAGAUUAACCCAAGCUUGGUUCAAUAAAACAAUAAAUAGUAAACAUAUACAAAAGUACCAAACAACUAAAGUUCAAUUUAUAAUCAGCAAGAUACAUGCUUGUUCAAUGUAGGCUCAAUUUCAAAUUUAUUAAGAUAUCAAACCAAGUUCCAACAACCCACCUUUUGGCUCAGCUCAUUGGCACAAAUGUCGAAAGCCAAGAACUACUUAUGCUCACACUUUGUAAAACAAAAUUAUGAGAGAUACAAAGACAAUCAAGAGAGAACACAGGGUUAACCGUGACUUCAAUAGGCACACGUGUAUCAAUGCGAUGUUGGUAAUAAAGAUCAAUGCAAUCAACAUCAAGCCGCUUCAAGCUGGCCUCGCAGGCAGCCCGUACAUAGGCUGGGUCGCCGCAUAUGUCAUUCUUCCCAUCAGCAAGUCUAAUCCCGAAUUUUGUAGCUAACUCCAUUUUCUCCCUCAUUCCAUCCUUCAAAGCCUAUGCAAAGCCACGAUUUGAUACCAAACAGUAGAUAGACAUUACAAAAACAAUGAUACGUUAAAAAUGGGCAACCCAUCCAAGAAGCGAAAGACACUAAACAGACUAGCCAGGUUAAGGUUCGAGACGGCCUAUGCAAAGCCACAAUUUGAUGCCAAACAGUAUUAAACACCACAAAAGCAUUGAUACGUUAAACAUGGACAACCCCUCCGAGAAGUGACACUAAAUAGACUAGCCCGAGUAAGGUUUGAGACUAGAGUCCAUAAGACUAAUAAUGAAGCUGUAAAAAUGCUUGAAUAAUUUGUCCUUCUCCAGCAAAAAAGAAGUUACUUUGAUAGCAUUUCCCCAAUCAAUGAGACAGUCCCAAGAAUAACGAAAGGAAAUUAAAACGUAUAUGGCCAUUUUAUGAAGGCCUCACAACGAAGAUAACACCUUAAUCUAGUUCUGUUGAGUUCCACGAAUACCAGAAAAAGAUUAAAAAUUGGAAGAAACUACCAAUUUAUAAACUACAUAAAAAUAAAAAAACCAAAUAUUUAUGGGAAAAAAAACCUUAAACCAAAUUAAGGGUUUAAAUUCCAUGACUUAGUUAAACAAUAUACCAAUAAAUAAAUAAAUAAUAGAAAUAGGAAAUAAAAUGUAUAAGGAAUCUGAAUCAAUCACCAUACAAGCUCAGUCUUCCCAGUUCCCAAAUCUUGUACAACAUUUAAGAAUAAAAAACAACACAAUAUAUUCUAUUUCUGCAACUAAUAUUUUACACUUUUUCUUAUAUAUUUAGAAAUAAACAGAAUUGAGAAAUUCCAUGUGUAAUUACUAAUUAAAGUUGCAGAAAUACAAGUGUGUCUGUGUCUGUGUCUGUGUCUGUGUGUUGGGGUUAAGGAAACAGGGUAAGAGUACCUACCUUCCCGAGGAGGAUUUCAUUGGUUUUCGGCCCAUAGAUGUCGGAGGUAUCAAGGAACGUGAUGCCGGAAUUUAGUGCAUAGUGAAUGAGUUUGAUCAUGUCGGGCCCGGGCUUCGGCUGGCCGAAAUGUGGCGUCAUGCCCAUGCAUCCGAGUCCUUGCACAGACACUUCCAAUCCCUGUGAGCCGAGCUUGAUUCUGGGCAUUUUCACAUUGCUUUCGGCAGCCAUUAUUCAGGAAUCCCCGUCUAUGUUAAUGGAUACUGAAUCGAAUGGGAGGAACAGGUAAAAUAAUCAGGGUUGGUCUACAGUGCAGAGAUAAUUAGAGCGUGUUUGAUUGUGAGAAAAUAUUACUUAAAAAAAAAAAUAUUUCUCAUCUUUUGUGAAAAAUAAAAAUCACUUGAAAAUAUUUUCCUUAAAAAUAAGAAAAAUUAGGCGUAUUUUCAAAAGUUGAAAAAUAUUUUUCAUGGAAAAAAAAUAGCAAUCAAACACUCCAAGUGAAAAUUUGGUUAGAAAGCUAAUAUUUUCCAUGAAAAAUAAGUGUGUUUGACAUGGAAAAUAUUACCUAGAAAAGAAAAUAUUUUCCAUCUUUUGUGGAAAAUAAAAACCACCUCUACCCAAGGAAAAUAUUUUCCUUAAAAACAAGGAAAAUAAGACAUAUUUUCAAGAGUUGGAAAAUAUUUUUCAUAGAAAAAAAUAGCAAUCAAACACUCUAAGUGAAAAUUUGGAUGGAAAACUGAUAUUUUCCAUGGAAAAUAAAUAUAAUCAAACACACCCUUAUUGUUUGUAGCUGGGUUAAUCUUGUCUUAUUUUUCUUUCUAGACUCACUAUUAUUCUACUAAAUAUUAAUUUAUUUCAAUUAGGUCACUAAACUUUGAUUUAGUUUCACAUUACACCAUUAUAUCACAUUUCAUCUUCUAUAUUCCCAAACUAACGAAAUUUAAAUAGCUGGCAUCCAUAUUAUAAUCGAUCAUUCAUGUAAUCAUCUUGGGUACCCUAAAAAUGAAAAUCACAAUAUAAAAAUUAUUGUAAUUAUUUAACUCCCUGUUUGAUAGAGAUUAAAAUAUUCAAAUUUUAGUACAAGUCAAAAUUAACAAUUAUUUUUACCAAAAAUUUCAUGAAACACAACUUUUUAAUCACAAUUUAAUCAAUUUAUUAAAAAACUGAUUUUAAUCUCCACCCAACAAGGUAUUAGAUUAAAAUGUUUAAGUAUUUUUCUUAUCCGCUUUAUCACCUUUAGGACGUGGCAUAAUAGUAAAUUGACAUCCCACACAAAAAUCAAAUGCAAUGUGGUCUCGAGUAUUCUAUAAGUUUGGGAGACGAAAUGUGACAAUUACAUAAAAACAAAAACAAAAAUAAAAACAAAUUUAGUCCAAUGACCCAAUUGUAUCUAAAUUGAAGUAUAGGGAACCAAUUAAGCGGAAUUUGUCUAAAAGUUCAGUGACCAUAAUUGAAAUUCACCCUUCCCCCGUCUCCCCCACCCCCCACUCCCCCAACUUUCAUUUUGCUUACGUAAGAGAUGACACAAGAAGUUGAAGAAGAAAAAUAACAUUAGAAAUUUAUGUGAUGGUAGGUGAAGAUGAAUUAUCAUUAUGAAGCUAGUCUUGGUGCAGCUGCUUUCCAAGUUGACAAGGGAGGAGCAUUGAAGUUUCCCAAUUCCAAUGUUAUCAUAUUUGACUUUAGCAUGGACUUUAUCCUAAAAUGGUUAGAAUUCCUAUUCCAAUUGAGAGAGACUAGAGAGGCUUACACAGGAUCCCUUCAAAUCAUACACAAUAGAGAGUGAGGGAGUAUUUUUUAGCAAUAUUUUACGCACAUAAGACCCUCAUCAUGUGAGUAUUCUGGAAGGGUUAUGUGGCCCCUACAUAUGGCAAAAAUCAUUCCAAUUUUAGCGUUAUCGACAAAUUUUGGUAAAUCUACAUUAUUUAUUGGGAAAAUUGCAGCAAAGGCCCCAAACCUUGAAAAUAUUAACAGACUUUCCCCAAACUUUUAAUUUGUUGCAAUUGUCAACCCAAAUCUUACGAAACGUUGCAGUUGAGGCCCUUUUGGACGGUUUUCAUCCAAAUGUCUGUUAGUUGACUAAAAAUUUUGACUUUGACCAAUAUUUAAUAUUUUUGGAAGGGUAAAAUAGUAACUCUUAAUUUAUUACAUUAAAAUAAGUUAGAAAUUAAAUUAUAAAAAAUAAGAAAUAAGAAAUUAAAAAAAAAAGAAAAAAAAAAGGCCAGUCAUCUUCUUCCUCUAACCCCCACGUCCAUCCCCAAAAUCAAUUACGCCACCGGACCGCCACCUCCAUCUCCACCCCCACCCCCAGCUAACACACAAAAAUAUGAAGACAAUAAUUCGCCCAUUGCAUCCAACAUAUACAGCAUAUCCCCACCAAUUUGCUGUUGCAUUUUGACAAAUGAAACCUUAGGAAAAUCUGCAUUCUUCACAUCACAAAUGGGAAUGGACCCGAAUUCAUUCACAGCAUAAAAUGAUUCAUAAAAAAUAAAUUACAUCCUCACAAUAUAAUCGUGCUUCGUCAAUGAAUUUCCAGGAAUUUCCCCCUUUUCAUAAUAUGUCAGAUCUCCGUGUCAAUUAAGAAUCGUGAAGGCAAUUAAAUUCGAGUCAUUGUAAGGGUUGUGAGAGAGAAUGACCUUUUGAAUAAAAUAGUCGUGCAUUUUUCUUAGAGUAAUAGACCUCAGCACCUGGAGGCUGGAGUGUGUAUUCACGACCUAUGCUGUAGAAAUCGAAAUUUGAGACAUUUGGGACAGUUGAAGACGCUGGGAAAUUAACUUUGGCACAUGUGAUAGGGUUAAUAAGGAAAAUAGAGCUAACUAGGGAGGAACCAAUGCGGCGAUGGCUGGGGAAUGCUUCUGGUAGCGUGAGGUUGGGAAGGGAGUGGAGUGAGGGGUGGGAGGAAGGAAGGAAGAAGACGAUUGGCCUCUUUUUUUCUUUUUUUUCUUAUUUUUUAUAAUUAAUUUCUAACUUAUUUUAAUGUAAUAAACUAAGAGUUACUAUUUUAUCCUUCCAAAAAUAUUAAAUAUUGGUCAAAGUUAAAAUUUUUAGUCAACUAACGAACAUUUGGAUGAAAAUCGUCCAAAAGGGCUUCCGCUGCUACGUUUCGUAAGGUUUAGGGUGACGAUUGCAACAAAUUAAAUAUUUGGGGAAAGUCUGCUAAUGUUUUAAAGAUUUGGAGCCCCUACUGCAAUUUUCCCUUAUUUAUUCCUUAUUACAAUACUGCUUUCAUUUUGUCGUGGCAUUACCUUUCAUGGGAAGUGUUCUCUUGCAUGACCCUAUUGAUCUUCAACUAUUGCUUGACCGCCCCGCCCCGCCCCGACCCGACCCGAUGGGGACCUCCUCGAAUGGGGGAAAAAUCGGGUCCGACUGGCGGGGUGGGGCGCGGCGCGGUGCCGCGUUGUAGGGCGGGGAGGGACUGACCUUUGAAGAGGAAAAAAAUUAAAAAUAAAUAGACAAUUCACUCGUUAAAAACUCAUUUUGAAUUUGUAUUUUAUUCUCCAAUAAUAGCAUAAUUCGAAAUAAAAAACAAAAAAAAAAGGGGUAGCAAACAAGGCAAAAAGCUGCCCCACCCCACUGCCAUCCCUACAAUUUGUCAAGAUUAACUCCAGCUCGGUUCAAUAAAAUAAUAAAGAGUAAAUAUAUAAAAAAGCACCCAAAAACUAGAUUUCAGCUCAUAGUAAACUGGACAAAUGAUCAUUCAUCAUAGGCUUACUUUGAAAUCACACAAAACUUAACCUCAAUUUUAAAUUUACGAAUAAAUAAAUCCAAACUUCAAAAACGAACCUUUUGGCUCAGUUCAAUGCUUGUUGAGAGCUCAUAACAUAUCAAUAACAAGAGCUAGUUGCAAUCAAAGUUGGUAAAUUUAAAUCACGAGAUACUUAGAGGGAAAUAAAGGGUUAAUCGUGACUUCAAUAGCCAAACGUGAAUCAAUACGAUGUUGGUAAUAUCAAUCAAUAUAAUCAAUUGUUAGAUAUAUAUCAUAUAUUUUAUCUAAAAGAAAGUGAUUAUACUGAGAUAAAUGGUCGAGUGGUCAAAUAUAUAGAAUUUAUGUUGGAGGUCAAUGAUUCAAAUCACAAUCAUUGCGAAUAUUUAAAAUUCUAUGAUUUAGCUUUAGGGCCUUGAACUUUUUUGAUUAAAAUAAUUUUUUUUUUCUUUUAUUAAUGUUGGUUCUUCUCAAUUAUGUUCAAAUUUAUAAUGUCAAACUAGCUAGUAAAAUAUAGUAGUUGGAUGGGAUAAGUUAGUAGUAAUAUAAUAAAAAUAACAGUUUUAUUUUAUUGAAUUAUGAAUUAUUAUUGGGAAGUUACAAUUCCUAGUUGAAAUCAACCACAUCUUAUGUACUUUUAGGCAAAAUCAAUUCUAGAAAUUUUAAUUUUAUUUUGUUCUUGAGCAAAAUUUGAGAGUUUUGGAAAAUGCUUGUGAUUGUUGUAGUGAUUCAAUGGUUGUCUCCUAGGAGUAACUGUUCAAAGAGAUAACAAAUGUUAUCGACAAACAACUUUACUUUAAUAUAUCGUACUGUCACGAAUAAUUGAUCGUUCGAUAAAUCGUCUAAUUUUCUACAUUUAAUUGUUUGAAAAAGGUAAUGAAAUUAAUUUCUCCCUCAUCCCCCCCUUCAAAGCCUUUGCAACUCGAUGGCAAACUGGUACAUAAAAAUUAAAUAUUCAUGUAAUAGCCAAAAAUCUAAGGUGCCAUCUAAGCUCCAUCCCGCGAUGUCAAAUACAUAAACUUUUUUGUAAUAUUAGCAGCCGGAAAUUAACUAUAGAAUUAUUGCAGCGUUAAAGAUAAUGAUAAGUGUGUUUUUAUCAUAGUUAUCAGACUCGGACCGGACCUCAACCCGAAUAAUGCAAUGGGUCAACGGGUCAGUGGUUUAACCGUUGACCCGGUGGUUCAACUGGCGAGUCAAUUCCUAUAAAAAAUAUUAUUAAUUAUUUUCAUUGAAUAAUAAUUUUUUUCCCAUUUUCUACAAAUAACUAUAUUAACUUCAUAUUAUUCUGUCAACUAUAUAUCAAUUUGUAUUCCAAUUUCACAAAUUCUAGAUCAUAUAGAGAGAAAUAUGGAUUUGAAACAAUAAAAACAACAAUCAAUGAUUAAAAAAAACUACUUUAUAUCCAUGUUACAACAUCACAAGCAUUAAUAAAAGUUUUGUCACUCUCCAGGUUACAUGCUACCAGUUAAUCAACCCUUGCAUUAAAACAUCAAAAGAAAAGACUUAUCCAUGAUAACUAGAAAUUCUAGACGAUGUCAAUGAUUUCUCUAAUAUUGCCAAUUAUUGGUAAAGGAAGAAGAAAUGAUACCGAUUCAAUAAAUAAAUCAACAGAGAAACGCAAACUAGAUUGGUAUAAAUCACAGUAGAUAAGAGCUCAGAGAUCCACAAAGCAACUAUUCAAAAGCAUAGCACAUGGACCAACUUAAGCAAAAUAUUAAUCAAAUGAAGUUAGUUCAUCUAAAAAAUAAAUUAAAACCACCAUCAUAAUCCAUUUUUUAGCAACCAGUAACGCAAAAAUACUCGGACGUUAACUGGGUAAUAAUCCAAAGAUGAAGAAAAACUAAACACUAAAUAGAGUCUGCUCUUUAUUCGAGUAAAGCAUACAUUAGGUAUUUUUUAACCAUGACAUCAAGAAGCAAUUGUGGAUAUACACAAGCCUGCCAUCUGAAUCAAAUGUCUAUCCAAGUGAGGAUAUACACCAGCUAGAAAUGAAUAAAUACAUCACCUGAAUCAAAUGCUACAGCAAUGGCUAGAUGAAGCCAACAACUUUUUUCACAUAAUAUUAUAAAUGCCCCUCUAAAUCGAUAAAUUUAAUUAAAAACAGUAAAAAACUACUGGGGUGGCUCCGAUACAUUGUUGAAUACCAAAUUCCACAUUUUUUUUGUUCUAUAAUUCAUAUGCCAUCAUACCCAGGACAAAAUUCCACAUUUUUUUUGUUCUAUAAUUCAUAUGCCAUCAUACCCAGGACAAAAUUCCACAUUUUUUUUGUUUUAUAAUUCAUAUUACUUAAAAAAGGAUUCAUCUGACCGAGACUAACCUGCUCUUCCAUCUUUUAAAACUUGAAAUUGGAGAUUUGGAUUCUUGGGAGUUGAUGAAUUGCAAGAGAUUGAGACCGCGGCUGAGGUUUUUAAUUUUGCAAGAAUCCCUAAUGUCUUAGAAGUUAGAAAUUGUGAGGAGACGACGUGGGGAAGGAAACUGGAAGGAAUCUGUGAGGAAAGGAAAGUGAAACACAGUUACUUAAGAACCGGUCGGGUCAAUCCAAAGUCGGUACCCCGAAUCUAUGUAAAAUCGCCGGUUCUAGCGGGUUGUUGGCAGGCUGAUUUUUCAUCCAUAAAUUCCUCACAAUCGGACCGAUCUGGGUCCGGUUCGACGGGUUCCGAACUGAACCGGCCGAUCUGGUUCGGGUCUGAUAACUAUGGUUUUUAUACACUUAUUGGGCACCUUUAAUAAGCUAAUUAAUGAUGUAAUUGAGUGAAUUCCUAUUCAUAAUUGUGUAAUUAUGGUGUUUGUAGAUUAAAAGUCCAAAUUGAGAGAGAAGAAGGCUAAAGGAAGGGGAAAAAAAAAGGACCAAAAAUAUGACUUUGGGGACUAAGAUGUACAGGUCAAAAAGUUCAAGGACUCAAGUUGCAAAUUAUGAAGGAUUUGAUUGAAAAUAAGUUCAAAAUUUAAGGACUAAAUUAGAUGAAACCAAAGUUGGAGGACCAAACGUGCAAUUCUUUGAUGACCAACUGAAGAGAAGGGAAAAGAAGGCAAGGCGCACGCCUAAGCCUGUAGGUAAGGCACGUGCCUCAACUCCACUUUUGGGCAACUGAGAGCAACCAAAAGGCUAAGGCCCGCGCCUUAGGUUGAAAUUCAAGACCUGUGCGUGCAUUUUAAAUCUUUUUAGGGGCUCUUCUUGCAAUUUGUUUGGGAUGAUUUUUACUCCUUUUAAACACUCUUUUCACCCAUUCUCAACAUUCUUCUUCAUCCAUUUUAAAACCCUAGCUUAGAAAGAAAAGGGGGCGAACAAAAAGGAGAGGAAAAAUCACACAAAGAAGAUAAAAUCUUGGAAAAAUUUAGACCAAAACCAAGCAAGAUUCAAGGAUCCGACCAAGGGACAUGUUUAUUUCUUUGUCAUGUAUUUCACAUUAUAUUUUUCUCAAUUUUUGUGAUGUAUUUCUUUAAUCCUUUCAUUUUGUGCCCUAUAAAUACAAUGAGCAAAACAUUUUGGUGUCGGGAUGAAUGAGGAAGCUUGUCUUAACUAUAUAAAUUUCUUUAUUCACUAUUUUAAUGCUUAUGUUCUUGUAUUUUUACCAUUACAUUGAGUGUAUUAUCAUUAUUGUGGUCACUAUGUGAUAAUGUCUAGUGAUUUGUGUGAUUAUUGAGAAAGUGUUGCACAUUUUAGAUUAAGGUGGUAGAAAUCCUAGGUUCUUGUGGAAAUAGAGAUAAACUCCUACUCUUAGGUAACUUUUGAGUUAUUUUCAUUGAUAUUUAAUGCUUUUGAUUGUGCUUAAUCAACAUAGAAAUAUAACAGGUUAAACCAAUUGAUUAUGGUUAGUUUCACUUGAGAAAUGUAAUUAACUAAAAUAGGAAAAUCGGGUUUGACAAGAAAACUGAGUAAUGUUCUAUUGACUUGUUAUGAAGAAUUAAUUUAGUGACUGCAAAAUGAAAUCAUGAAUCCUAACCUGACUAAAAUCCAACUUUGACCAUAACUGUAAUUGGGUAUUUUAUUUGAAUGCUUAGAAGUAUAUUCUUUUAAUCUUUAAAUUCAAAGAUAUUAAUUAUUUAAAUUCAAAGAUAUUAAUUAUUUAAAUUCAAAGAUAUUAAUUAUGUGUGUCAUGACUAUUAUUUGGAUCAACUCUCGUGUAAUUGGACUAAACACUCUUCAAGGGAUCACUUAGACUCAAAAAGUUCACACUAUUACGUGUGCGCGACCCCUGCACUUGCGAUGUAGCAUUUUAGUAAACAGGUAACAUCAAUUAAAUAUAAUAGUCACGACAUAAUGACUGACCUUAUACAAUAAAAAACAAUUUCAAGAAUCAUUGAUAGGAAUAAGAACCCAAACCUUCAAUGAGCAAUUCUAUGUUCAAAUGCUGGAUUCUAAGACAAGAACAUUCUUGCGGGGCGUCCUACUUUGCAUAAAUAUGAAAAUAAUAAUCAAUAUGUGAUGAUGUAAACUGCUCCCUCUUAACAUUGGUAUUUUAAGAUAGAAUUCAAGAUUCGAUAUAUAGACUUCAAAGAAACACACAAAAUAUAGACUAAUUUUUAUAGAUCCUGGAGUGUUACUAAAAAAUUGAUUUUCUUCACGUAAAUGAGGCAACAUAAAAAUAAAAAAAUUCCUUCAUUUUCAAUGAUAAAUAAUAACUAUAUGCUGACCAAAACAUGAAGUUUAUAUCUUUUCGAAACGACUUUGAUCGACCAGAACUAACUAUAAAUAAUAAACUAGAUAAUAGAAAACUUAACGAUUCCAUUGUCUUCAAAUCAUGUUGACAAUCCUCAUCACCAUUCUAUAACAAAUUUGAUAACUAAUUGUAAAUUUUGUAAAAGUGAGUAUUUAACACUAGCUAGUAAAAAUACAUAUGAUUUCUAUAACAUAAUUAAAUAAAUCAAUAAAAUAGAUAUUGAUUGGUACAUAUAUAUUAAUAAAAUAAAAUAAAUUUAACUUUUAUCCGAAUCACUUUGCACAUGUUUGUUUAUCAUUCUCCAUAAACUCUUUUUUUUUUCUUUCUCUUUUUUUUUUUUUUUUUUUUAAACUUUUUUUCAAUUUUUUAACUAAACUUUUUUUUAAACUCAUUUUCAACUUUUUAACUAGACAUGCUCUAAGAAUCACUAUUCCAAAACUCCAAUCAAUCGAAUAUUGAUUAAUGCGUAAUUGAUCGAACACUACUUGCAAAUGGCUUUUUUGCUCAGAAACAUUUAAAAAAAAAAAAACUCUCUUUAUUGGACAUCAAAUAGGGGCUUAAUUAGUACAUAAGCAUAUAUACAAACAUGUAAUCAUGGCCGCCUAUUUCUUGAGUCCAACUUAUUUGGAUUAACUUUUCUCGAGCCAUAGUGCAUCAUUUAAUACGAGAUUAGUUUUUAACCCUACAAUAUUUAAUUAUUUGACCCGAAUAAAAAUAUUGUAUUAAACACUUAUUUUCUCUUUAGUCGAUCAAUGAUUUAAAAUUAUCAAAAAGCUCCUAGGUCAAAAUUCUUAUCGCUAGAUAUUCUUAUUCUAUAAAAUUUCCAGAGGAUAGAUUUGCUAUGUUAUUCUAUCUUAUGGGUCACAUUUCACAUCAAGACCAGAAAUAGAAAAAUUAGUUAGAAGGUGUAAAUAUGAAAAAUUGAUUGAUUAAAUUGCAAUGAGACAAAUUAAGACGAUCAAUUUAAGACCAAAAAAAGAGUGAAAAAUGGGAAUAUUCUUUAAAAUAUGGUAACCUAACAAUCUUAAUUUUCCAUUGUUUUGAUGGUAACCUCACUUUGAGCUUUUAGACCGCAUUCUAAUUGUAGAUUUCUUGUUAAUCGACAAAAGAGAAAUGUAGACUUGGAAUCUUUAAUACCUUGAACCAUACAAAAGAGAAAUGUAGAGUUGCAAUAUUUAAGUUUAAUACCUUGAACCAUGCGAUUAUAUCUCCUACCUAAUGAUUAUGAACCAAUAACCGAUUGAAGAGAAAAUUAUUGAUACGAAUCCCUUUGGCCUAUCCACAAAUAUGGUAAGGCAUUCCCAAGUCCUAUUUGAAUUAAUCUAUGGAGAUUACGACAAAUUCCAUUCAUGAUUUGAAUUUUUAUAACAUCAAGAUUAGAUGUACCAAACAAAAAGGAAUAUCAUUAAGUAAAUUCAUAUGAAAUUUAUCCCAAAGAUUAGUAACGAAGUCAUUUACAAUGAAACUAACUACUAUUAACUAACCAAUCGUCUACUUCUCAAGACUCGAGUAUUCAUGGUUGUCUUGGAUCCUACAAAAUACCUAUGUGAUGGAACUUAUAAACUUUCGUAGUUUGGCUGAUAAAACUCAUUAGAGACAAAAGUGAAAAAACAUGGACCAACGAUAAAUCGGUCCGGUUAGUGCUUGAAAUCAAACUAGUUACAGUGACUACCAAAAGCUCUAGCAUGCCCAAGUAUUUUCCGAGCCAAGGCAAAGAUCAAGAGCUGGCCAAACGUCAACCCGCACACAUGGUCUUACAACUAUGCCGAAAAAAUGGGAGAAACCCCAACCUCAUAAACCAGUUCACCUUUGACCCUUUUCGCAAUCUGUCUGGUUGAAUUUAUAAAAUUUUAGUAAAUUUUUGCUGGCUGGUUUUAAAAGCACAAUUGGUAUGUUUAGAAAGGUUUGUUCAUGAGCUAAAAAAACUUUUAGUUUCACUUUAGAAGUUGUAAGUCUUUAAAGCUAAACUCGAAAUUAUAGAUAUAAAAUAACUAUCAAAUUAAAUCCCAACAGUUUUCAAGGAGAUAAAAUUUCUAGCAAUGAAAACUGCUUGCUUAGAACAUUUGAUGCCAAUUUUAUUUCGACCUCUUCACUCCAAUGGCAAAACGGGCAGGCACAAAGUGAUCACACAUGAUAAGGUAUUAUUAUGAGAUAGAUAAAGCGUUCUUUAUGCGGCUGCUUUCCAGGUUGACAAAGGUGGCGUGUCUGAAUCUUUCCAUGUAGGGAUAUUGGGUCCAUAUCUCUCGCCCUUGACAGCAUCGGCCGAAGUAAUAGAUUCAAGUUCGGCCAUGUCUUCUUCCGUCAGUUUUACAGACAAUGCUCCCAUGUUUUCAUUAAGGUUCGUAGAUUUCGUUGUACCAGGUAUCGGACAAACAUCAUUUCCUUGAUGAUGUACCCAGGCCAAAGCAAGCUGUGAAGGGGUACAUCCCUUUCUAUUUGCAAUAUCCUUGACCCUCUCGAAUAAGCUCUUAUUAAGCUCCAGAUUCUCGGGUUGGAAUCUUGGUAGACGCUGCAAAAUGUAAAAAGAGUUUUAGCAUAUACAUCAGUUUCAAUAUUGAUAAUUAAGAUUGUAAAACUACACAUUUUAAAAGCAGGAACAUCAACUAAUAACGUGCACGCUUCAAGGGGAAAAACUUGUAGCAGGCAUUAGAACUAUGUAACGACAAAAUUUAAGACUAGGACUCCAUUUGGUACAGCAUUAUCAUUGAAAAGAGGGAUUAAUGCUGACUGAAAUUCAUCAAACAGUUCACUUGGAUGCUCAACUCAACAGGUCUUAUAGAAAUACAAAAUUAAGGUAAUAUAAUUGUGGAACACCACCUAUUUUCAGAAGCUUAAGUUUUCCAGUUCUCUUCUAAGGAUGAUAUCGUCAUAUUAUACUGAAGUGGUGGACUUUUAUCUUGAAAUAUAAAUCAAGAGAGAGAAAAGAAUUACUUACAUUGUUUUGGUAACUGUAAUGUGAAUGUAUUGCUACCAGCAUGUUUGGUUAAACUUUAAAAGUUUACUUAAUAAAUAUGUGUGUGUGUGUAUUAUGGUAAAAGUUGAAAAUAAGUAAUUUAUUUUGACACCAAAAUAAAAGUUAAUUUUAAAAAUAUAUAACGUUUUUAUUUAAAAUUUAGACAAAAGUAAGUUAUAUGCGUAUGCAAACAUAUUUGAAAACAAAAAGUUACUUAAAAGUAGUUGUUUAUCUUUUUGGAGCUUACGCAAACAUGAUCUUGAAUAAUUAUAUGUUCAAAAGCUUGCAUUUCAAGUGAGGGCAUAACUUAUAUUCAUAAUUCCAGAGAUACUUAGAUAUUAUGUGUAUCAUAAAUCCAAAAAAUGGUGGUGUGCACAAUGGCUACACAAAAUAAUUCAUGGUUGAAUAGGAAGCUCAUAGGUGAUAGAAGAAUAAAACAAACCAACCUUUCGAAAGUCCACUUCAGAGAAAGUUUCAACGACUUUUGGACCGGAGGAGAAGAAUCCCCGUCCAAGAGGACUGUAUGCUACUAUUCCAAUGCCAAGUUCUCUAAACAAUUGUACCAAGGAUGUUUAGAUUUAGAACUCUAUAUUUCUUACUGGCUUGAAAUAUAAAACCAUUACAAUAAUCAUCAAACCUGCAAGUGGGAAUUAUUUCUACCUCAGCAUCUCUUGUCCACAAAGACCACUCCAACUGCACUGCUGAAAUUGGAUGAACAGCAUGCGCCCUUCUGAUUGUAGAAGGUGAGGCCUCUGAUAGACCAAUAUAUUUUACUUUACCUUCUUCCACAAGUUUCUUUAGUUCUCCCAUCUUGCAAAAAGAGGGAUCCAAAGUAAUUAGGAGAGGCUUAAGAAAGAAACAUGCGGAAUCAAAUCUAAGAAUAAAAGGGAGACAUCCAUAUAUAUAUAAUCAAAUAUGUACAACAAUAGGCAGGUUGAACAACAAUAGGCAGGUUAUGUUGGCUGUAGGAACUACUCUACUAUAGUGCCAUUCCUGAAGAUUCCAUGUCACAUUUUCUAGAUUUAUCAAAGGUUUGAAUUGUGAGAUUAAACCAAAACUCUUUUUUAUACAUCAUUAGAGGAAGGUCGGGUUAUAGUUAGCUAUUAAAAUUGAUAAGUACCUCCAAUCUCAUCCAGUUAGAUGUGCACCUCACGUGUCAGAAGAUUCUCAACAGUUUCACCCUACUUCAUUCACUAAGUCCAGUAUUGAAUCUCAGUUUUGCAUAUCAUUGAACAACAAAUAGACAAAGCCACAGACCCAAACACUACUGUUAAGACUAAAAAGAUUCGGGGUAGCGAUCGACUUCUAAAUAUCUCCAUCAUGGCUGGAUGCAAGAAAAGCUGUAUUCUUUCAUCAGACUUCAAAAGUUCCGGGGUUCGUGCCCCCCCCAGCAUUUUUCCAUUACAUUAAUAUUUAUUAAGCUGCUAACUAGAUUCGAAAAUCUUGUAGAUUUCACUUAACGAAACAGCAGAAAUAAUGGAGGAAAGAGCAGUAGUAUAGUUUUGUCCUCACUCUGUCAUUAUUCUGAAAUAGCGGUGUAAUGCUUCCCUUCUACAUUGACUAUACUCAGGUUGUAGUGAAUACUCGAAUUUACAUUGAUCACGUGGUAUGGUGCUAACUUGUUCAAAAGUAUGUCUAUUCAACUCCAAUUACAUAACAUGGUUAACAUAAUUGAUGAAACCAUUAAACUAUCACUUCGCUUUGUCUCUAAGGUUAAAUUAAAGUUAGAACUUAGAGAAAGCACAACCUACUUGAGUGGGUUGAUCAAAGCUGAUUGAGAACAAUACUGUAGUCAAGAAGACAGACUUAUAAUUCACCAAUUUGUCAAGAUUAACCCAAGCUUGGUUCAAUAAAACAAUAAAUAGUAAACAUAUACAAAGGCAACAAACAACUAAAGUUCAAUUUAUAAUCAGCAAGAUAUAUGCUUGUUCAGUGUAGGCUCAAUUUCAAAUUUAUUAAGAUAUCAAACCAAGUUCCAACAACCCACCUUUCGGCUCAGCUCAUUGGUACAAAUGUGGAAAAGCCCGUAACAUAUAGAUAACAAGAGCUACAUAUGCUCACACUAAGUAAAACAAAAUUAUGAGAGAUAUAAAGACAAUCAAAAGAGAACACAGGGUAAACCGUGACUUCAAUAGGCACACGUGUAUCAAUGCGAUGUUGGUAAUAAAGAUCAAUGCAAUCAACAUCAAGCCGCUUCAAGCUAGCCUCGCAGGCAGCCCGUACAUAGGCUGGGUCGCCGCAUAUGUCAUUCUUCCCAUCAGCAAGUCUAAACCCGAAUUUCGUAGCUAACUCCACUUUCUCCCUCAUUCCAUCCUUCAAAGCCUAUGCAAAGCCACGAUUUGAUACCAAACAGUAGAUGAACAUUACAAAAACAUUGAUACGUUAAAGAUGGGCAACCCAUCCAAGAAGCGAAAGACACUAAACAGACUAGCCAGGUUAAGGUUCAAGACGGCCUAUGCAAAGCCACAAUUUGAUGCCAAACAGUAUAUAAACACUACAAAAGCAUUGAUACGUUAAACAUGGACAACCCCUCCAAGAAGUGACACUAAAUAGACUAGCCAGAGUAAGGUUAGAGACUAGUGUCCAUAAGAGUAAUAAUGAAGCUGUAAAUUUGCCUGAAAAAUUUGUCCUUCUCCAGCAAAAAAGGAGUUACUUUGAUAGCAUUUCCCCAAUCAAUGAGACAGUCCCAAGAAUAACGAAAGGAAGUUAAAACGUAUAUGGCCAUAUGACGAAGGCCUCACAACGAAGAUAACACCUUAAUCUAGUUCUGUUGAGUUCCACGAAUACCAGAAAAAGAUUAAAAAUUGGAAGAAACUACCAAUUUAUAAACUACAUAAAAAUAAAAAAACCAAAUAUUUAUGGGAAAAAAAACCUUAAACCAAAUUAAGGGUUUAAAUUCCAUGACUUAGUUAAACAAUAUACCAAUAAAUAAAUAAAUAAUAGAAAUAGGAAAUAAAAUGUAUAAGGAAUCUGAAUCAAUCACCAUACAAGCUCAGUCUUCCCAGUUCCCAAAUCUUGUACAACAUUUAAGAAUAAAAAACAACACAAUAUAUUCUAUUUCUGCAACUAAUAUUUUACACUUUUUCUUAUAUAUUUAGAAAUAAACAGAAUUGAGAAAUUCCAUGUGUAAUUACUAAUUAAAGUUGCAGAAAUACAAGUGCAUCUAUGUCUGUGUCUGUGUGUUGGGGUUAAGGAAAUAGGGUAAGAGUACCUACCUUCCCGAGGAGGAUUUCAUUGGUUUUCGGCCCAUAGAUGUCGGAGGUAUCAAGGAACGUGAUGCCGGAAUUUAGUGCAUAGUGAAUGAGUUUGAUCAUGUCGGGCCCGGGCUUCGGCUGGCCGAAAUGUGGCGUCAUGCCCAUGCAUCCGAGUCCUUGCACAGACACUUCCAAUCCCUGUGAGCCGAGCUUGAUUCUGGGCAUUUUCACAUUGCUUUCGGCAGCCAUUAUUCAGGAAUCCCCGUCUAUGUUAAUGGAUACUGAAUCGAAUGGGAGGAACAGUUCAAAUAAUCAGGGUUGGUCUACACUAGACAUAAUUAUUGUUUGUAGCUGGGUUAAUCUCGUCUUAUUUUUCUUUCUAGAAUCACAACUAUUCCACUAAAUAUUAAUUUAUUUCAAUUAGGUCACUAAACUUUGAUUUAGUUUCACAUUACACCAUUAUAUCACAUUUCAUCUUCUAUAUUCCCAAACUAACGAAAUUUACGCCGGCAUCCAUAUUAUAAUCGAUCAUUCAAGUAAUCAUUUCGAUUACCCUAAAAAUGAAAAUCACAAUAUUAAAAUUAUGGUAAUUAUUUAAUCCCUGUUUGAUAGAGAUUAAAAUCUCCAUAUUUUAAUAUAAGCGAAAGUUAAUAAUUAAAUCUUUUGUUUUAAUCCACUUUAUCACCUUUAGGACGUAACAUAAUAGUAAAUUGACAUGCCACACGAAAAUCAAAUGCAAUAUGACCUCAAGUAUUCUAUAAGUCUGGAAGAUAGAGUUUGACAUUUACCAAAAAAAAUUUAGUCCAAUGACCCAAUACGUAUCUAAAUUGAAGUAUAGGGAACCGAUUAAGGCAAAUUACUGUUUAUGAGUCUAACUGGAAUUUCUCUAAAAGUUCAGUGACCAUAAUUGAAAUUCACCCCCUCCCCCCUCAACUUUCAUUUUGCUUACGUAAGAGGACACGAGAAGUUGAAAAAGAGAAAUAACAUUAGAAAUUUACGUGAUGGCAGAAUUACCAAGCUAGUCUAGGUGCAGUUGCUUUCCAAGUUGACGAGGGAGGAGUAUCCGAAGUCAAGUUCUGCUACAUUGACAGAUGGCAUAACAGAAGCAGAGGUGUCAAGUAUUGAUUUGUCAUUAAGAAAAACAGUUUUUGCCGGCCAAUGAAAUCGAUCCAUCCGCUCCUCUGUUUUCCCUUUCAAGCAGCUGCUUUGACAGAAGCAGCUUAAUUCAUUUGAAGUCUCCCAAUGCCCAUGUUACCAUAUUUGACUUUGGCAUAGACUUUAUCCUAAAAUUACUAAAAUGGUUAGAAUUCUUAUUCCAAUUUUAGCAUUAUCGACAAAUUUUGGUAAAUCGGCAUUAUUUAUUCCUUAUUACAAAACUGCUUUUCAUUUCGUUGGAGCAUUACUUUUCAAGGGAAGUGUUCUUUUGCAUGGCAUGGUUUCCCCAUUGAUCUUCAGCUAUUGCUUUGACUUCUACAAUGUUUAAAGUUAAUCAAUUUAUCAAGAUUAACUCAAGAUCGGUUCAAUAAGAUAAUAAAUAGUAAAAAAUAUAUAAAAAGGCACCCAAAAACUAGAUUUCAGCUCAUAAUAAAUUGGAUAAAUGAUCAUUCAUCUUAGGCUCAUCACGAAAUCACACAAAACUUAACCUCAAUUUUAAAUUUACUAAUAAAUCAAUCCAAGCUUCAAAAACGAACCUUUACGCUCAAUUCAAUGCUUGUUGAACUAGUUGCAAUCAAAGUUGGUAAAUCUAAAUCAUGAGGUUCUUAGAGGGAAUUAAAGGGUUAAUAGUGACUUCAAUAGCCAAACAUGAAUCAAUGUGAUGUUGGUAAUAUAUAAAUAAAAAGAAAGAAAAUAAUUAUAUUGAGAUAGUUGAUCGAGUGAUAAAAUAUGUAGAAUUUAUGUUGGAGGUCAAUGAUCCAAAUCACACUCAUUGUGAAUAUUUUAAAGCUUAAGAUUUAGCCUUAGGACCUUGAACGUUUUUUAUUAAAAUAAACAUUUUUUAUUAACGUUAGUUCUUCUCAAUUAUGUUCAAAUUUAUUAGGGAAUUUACAUAAAUGUCACUAAAAUUGAAAAUGCAUAAAAAAAAAAAAAAAAAUUUAUUUGCACCAAUUUCCUCCAAAAAUGUUACUUUUUUUAUGAAAAUGUCCACUUUACCCUUUAUGACACCUUUUUAGGAGCAAUAAAUGCUUAGUUUGAAUGCAAUUAAUAUUGUGAUGUGAUGAUUUAUUUUAUAUAUUUUAAACAUUUAAGAUAUAAAUAUUAUAUUGUAUAAUAUGAAUUUUUGUUAAAAAAAUGGGUAAAAAGUUUAAAAAAACACGCAAACCCUAUAUUCUUCUUCCUCAUCUUCAUUGCAUUAUCAACAAGGGAAAGCUAUUGAUCAAUAUCAAAGGUGAGCUACUAGAAAUUGUUUAUAUUUUCAUUUCAUAGUUUCCUCCUUUAGAUGUUUAAUACAACAUGUAGGAGUGUAAGCGGUUCGAUUUUAUCGAUUUUUGACAGAUUUUUAAGUCAAACCGUUUAAACCGAUUUGAAAAAAAAAUCAAAACUUAAACCAAACCAUUUUGAACGGUUUGAAAAAAAAACUCAAACCUAAACCUAACAGUUUAGUCCGAUUUUAAACCGCCGGUUUCACCAUAUAAUUUUUUGCCUAUCUACUUUUAUGUUAUUAAUUCAUUAAAUUUAAUAUAUAUUUAUAUCUUACUAGCAAUAAAUUAAAAACAAACUAAGCCGUUGUUUGAACCAAAUUUUUGGGACAAAAAAAUGAAAAUUUGGACUGUUAUCUCCCAAGUUCAGCCGCCUUUGUUGACCUGCUAUUUCAUGUGUGGGACUCAACCUCCUUUCCAACAGUCAAAUUUUUCAUUAUCAUGAUAUGAAAAAUGUGGCUCAAACAUGGGCUAAAUAUAUCUACUAUAAAUUUAAAUACCAAUUAAAUCAAGGUAAAAUCGCAAUAAGCUAAACCAUAGUUUUUUUCAUUUUUGUUCACAUUUUUUAGGCUAAUGACGAUACAAUAACGUUACAAUACAAGUCUACUAAACUAGAUAUAAGGUCCAAAAAAUAUAAUGAAAUCCAAUAAGACCUCGUGAUCAUCAUAUUUGAAAAAAAGGUAACUGAAUAGAUAAAAAUAAUAAUCAACCACAAUAAUUUAGCUAUUGUUUAUAAUAUCUAAACAUAACAAUUACACAAAUUUACGUUUAUAUGAUAUUACGAAACACAUUUAAUUUCAAAUUCUUACCUUAUUGUGCUCCAAAAAAAUUACUGAUCUGAAACUUUAUUCGAAGCAAAUAUUAUCACUGAAGGUCUAGGAUCUCUUUAUCUCAAAUUUGGUAUAAUGGACUUCAAUUCAACUUUGAAGAGGUGUGAAAAUUUUGAAAAAAAGAAGUGUGUGGUGCUAGUGGAUCAAGACUGUGUUGAGUGUCGACUGAAGUUCAUCUAAAUUCUGAAGAGGAAAAGGGUUUUUUUUAUAGAUUAUGUUAGUCUUGAGAUUAUUAUAUAUAAAUUAGGAUUAUUGGAUAAUAAUAUAUCUAUAUUAGAAAAUUAGAAAUUGACAAAAAUACCCACAAAUGACAAAAUUAUUGAAUUUUACAUAUUUGAAUGAAUUUUUAAAAAAAAUUCAUUUUUUCAAUUUUUUAUUUUUAUAUUUUUUUUUGUAGGUCUGAUUUGAUUUUAAACGCAAUUAAAAUUUUCAAACCUAAACCAAACCAUUUUGACCGGUUUGAUUUGACUCAAAAACCAUUUCGUUGAUCGGGUCCAAGUGGCGCCAAACCGAUGGUUUCUAAAAUGCGGUUUCGGUUCGAUUUUUCAAUUUUUGCUUACAGCCCUCAACGUGGUUAUAUUUAAUUGAACUUUUUGAAUCUCUUAUUCAUUAAUAUGUUUUAUUUUUGAUAUAUUUUUCAAAGGGAAAAAAUACUAACAUCCUAUUAAAAAUUUUGAAAGAUUUCAUAUUUAAUAUAGUAUUGAGUCAUUCAUUAUUUAGUUGUGGAAAGAUAUUGUGAUGUUGUAGUUGAGAGUUGAUUAUCACCAUUAAUAUUUUCAAUAACUUCCAAAAAACAUGGUUUUCAAGCUUCUUAGAAAUUUUUGGCAGUUCAACUGUCGAGUAGUAUCGUCGAAAUUGUCGGGUUAGACACUUGAACCGUCGAAGUCGACAUUUACUCACUAUCAAGAUAAACAAUUUAACUGUUGACUUCAACACUUGAAAACAGUUGAAACCCUUUAUUUUCCUUUUUACUAUUAUAUGGAUCCAAAUAUUCGAAAACUCCAAUUUAAUGAUAUUAAAUGUCGACAUAUGGAAUGUGCAAAAUUCUCACAUUUGCAAUCUUAACAUUUCAAGUAUGAGUCAUCACUUGAGAUUUAUCAUGUCGCAUAGGGAAAAGUUUGUUCAACCCCCAAUGUAAUACAAGUUUCUUAAAUAGUCGCUCAAUGUCGUUGCUGACAUUGUAUGUCCAAUGUUCCCCCUACUACAAUGUACAUUAUCAAGUUAUAUUGUAGUUUUUUUGUCAUUAUCGUUUGCAGUCAUUAUUGCUCCUUAUGUCAUCAUUAUCAAACUCUACUAUUGUUAAAAAUAAUUCAACCACACCAUUCAAAAGCUGCUAUUACAAUCCAAUAAAAAAUCUAAUUUUAAUUCCCACAAAACACAUUAUUUGUAAGUUGUAAAUAAUGGACUCAAUCGACGCGUAAAUGACAAACGCCACUAAUGUUAUAUCGUAUUACUAUGGAGAAAAUAAGGAAUUACAAAAUUGGAUUGAACUAUUGGAGUAUUUUUUGUACUUUGAAAAAAAUCAACAAUUUAACGUUUUCGUUUUCGUUAUCUUUAUUCUUUUUUAUCAUGUUUAUAACCUAUUGAUUUCAUUAGAGCGCACAUAUCUUGUGUAAAUGUAUUUUCAACUUACGGUGUUCCUCAGCACAUUAUCAACUUACAUUACUAUCUUCAACUCACAUCAUCAUUAUCAUUCUCACAUCAUUCGCAGAUUCAUAAGUAAAAUACGGAUUCAUAAACAACAUAUUGCAUGACAGCCUGACAUUUCAUUUGGCGUUCCGACGGAUUGUUUCUAUUAUCCUCGACACUUGGUCAUGAAAAAUUGUAUGAAUAAUUUUCGACAGUCAUCCUCAACACUUGGUCACGACAUGUCAUUGACUACUUAAAAAACAACUGUUAUAUUAUUUUUGAGAAUAUGUGACUAUUUCCCUAGUUAACUCAUACAAUGUAUCUGAUAUGUUGCUUAAUUUAACGUUUGUUGACUUUCUAUUCGCUACUCCUUGUGAAUGAAGGUCUAGUCAAAGCAGCAGGCACUCGAACACAUGUCGAUCGUUGCAUAUUUGCGUUAACAUCAUCGUCACCUUGAACGGGUAUGGUUGAUGCCAAUAAAACAUCAGUGUAUACUCCUAUGCAAAAAUAGUUUGAGUUGUAUUAGGUACCAAAAUUUAAUAAUGGAAGAAAAUAACAGAUUCUACCAAAAAUUAAAAUAUAACAUUGAAAUGAUACGUUUAUCUUCAACUGAACAUAUUUAACGUAAAAUAUAAGAAUUUGACAUUGUAUAACUAUCCCACUGUCCGAUCAUGUACAUUUUGGUUCGACACUUUCAUACGAAAUAAUCAAGUUUCAAAUGCUAAGGUUAAGAAAUCAAAACAUUCUAAUAUUUAUUUUUUAAAACUGAAAGUAGUAACACAUGCCAAUUGCCUUUUUUACCCAUCUAGUCAAUGGACCUUUUGGUAGUUUGGGCUACCACAUAUCAGGUCAGUAUCUUCAUACGAAACAACCAUGUUUGAAAUCAUGAAGAUAAAAACUUCAAACAGUGAGAUAAAUGCGUUUUUAAAUUAAAGUGAUGAUACAUAUCAAUCCCCUCAUUUAUCUAGCUAGCCGAUGGACCCUCUGGUAGUCCAAGCAAGCACCUUUUGGAUUGGUGACUUCUCUAUCUAGAAUGACAGUUUAUCUCUACAGAUGGAUUCAUAACUAUUAUGUCUAUAAUUUAUGAAGUAAUAAUGGUGCUCAAAUGAUAUGUUAUACAUUUCAACCCCCAAAAUCACACGUAGAAGAGAAGCUUAACAAAAUUUGGCUUCUGCAAUCAACUGUCGAGAAUUUCAAAGCCUAACUGUCGAGAACAACAGUUCAACUGUCAACAGAUGAUUUCGUUACUGUCAGAAUGGACAUUACAUUUCACAUUCAUAUUGGUUUUUCAAGACAUGAAGGGUCAAGUUAUGACAAACAUGAUAUGUGUUAUACUUAUAGCUUCCAAUAGCACUAUUUUUCAUAUACUCAGCAUAAGUUUUAUAUAUAAAUGCGAAAACAUUUUCAAGAAUGAAAAUUGAAUGAUCCAACACUUCAAACAACAUUCAAAUAACCCGGAAUAAUCAUAUAAAGACACAUUCAACCGAGCUUAUUUGUGCAUGUUGACCAGAAUAUACCAAAUUCAAUUUUAGCUCAUUUCACAAACUCAAAAAUUAAGCUCAAACUCAAUUUGCCCCUUAAUGACCAAUAACAUUAUUUACAUGAAAGAAAAAUGAAAAACAUAAUUGUAAGAAAUAAAUUCAUAGAUAACUUACAUAAACCAAAAUGCUAACAUUUUCAUAGUACUAGAAAAAUAGACCAAAAAAUGAGACAUAUUCUACCAAUUCGGACCAAAAUUGUGAAGAAUAAAAAAAUAAAUACACCUAAAUUUGAAAAAUUAGAAGAAAAGAGAGCAACGAAUGCAAAAAGAAAGAAAAAUGAAACCUCAAGAGAUUAAUGGUGAUUUUUGUCGACGAUGGACUGAUUAACGGUCAUUUGGCUUCAAGCCUGGACAAAAAUGGAGGACUUUAGUGUCGCCAGUGACCUUGAGCAAGAGGAAAUUGAGCCGUUUAAAUUUAGGGAAUGAGAGAGAGAAUGAUAGGAUUUUUACCUUUUAGGGAAUGAGAGAGAAUGAGAAGAUAUAUGCCCUUGUUUGAGCCCUAUUUUUGGGGAGAAAAUGAAUUUUUAAAUAGUGUAUUAAUGAAAAAUGUAUUGUUAAAAAAUAAGGAAAAAUUUUCAAUUUACGUGUAAUGUUAUUUUAUUGAAGAAUGUGUGGUUGAAAUGAUGUCGAAACACUGUUUAAGAAUAUAUUUUUUUUGGAAAGAAUGGAGCUCAAACAAGGGCUAUAUAUAUUAAAUAGUGAAGUAAGAGCAUUUGAUGCGUGUGUUAAAGUUUUUUGUACUAUUUUUCCAUCUAGUAAAAUCAAUUUUUAAUGAAAGACAUGUAGGGUAUUUGAAUUGUCUAAAUGGACAAAAAUGUCCAAAUUUUUCCAAAAUUAACAAUCUUGCAAAAACUUAAAAAAUGUGAUAUUUUUGUAAAUACAAAGCCAAAAAUUGACUAUUUUGGUAAUUUCCACAAUUUUUAUUAAUGUCAAACUAGCUAGUAAAAUAUAGUAGUUGGAUGGGAUAAGUUAGUAAUAUAAUAAAAUUAACAGUUUUAUUUUAUUGAAUUAUGAAUUAUUAUUGGGAAGUAACAAUUCCUAGUUGAAAUCAACCACACGUCUUAUGCAAUUUUAGGCAAAAUCAAUUCUAGAAAUUUUAAUUUUAUUUUGUUCUAAGCAAAAUUUGAGAGUUUUGGAAAUUGCUUAUGAUUGUUGUAGUGAUUCAAUCAUUGUAUCCUAGAAGUAAUUCUUCAAAGAGAUCACAACUGUUACCGAUGAACAACUUUACUUUAAGACAUCGUACUGUCACAAAUUUUCUACAUUUAAUUGUUUGAAAAUCCCUCUUUCCACCCUUUAAAGCCUUUGCAACACGAUGGCAAACUGGUACAUAAAAAUUAAAUAUUCAUGUGAUAGCCAAAAAGCUAAGGUGCCAUCUAAGCUCCAUCCCGCGAUGUCAUAUGUAAACUUUUUAGCAAUAUUAGCAUCCGGAAAUUAACUAUAGAAUUAUUGUAGCGUUAAAGGUAACAUCAGUUAAAUAUAAUACUAACGACAUAAUGACUGACCUUAUAAAAUAAAAAAACAAUUUAACCCAAAGCUUCAAUGAGCAAUUCUAUGUUCAAAUGUUGGAUUCUAAGACAAGUGGGCACGUCCUACUUUGCAUAAAUAUGAAAAUAAUAAUCAACGUGUGAUGAUGUAAACUACUCCCUCUUAACAUUGGUAUUUUAAGAUAGAAUUCAAGAUUCGACAUAUAGACUUCAAAGAAAAACGUGUGUACGUGGGAGUGGGCAAGAAGCAGGCGACGAAUGGUCAUUAUUCAUCAUAACAGUGCCAUUUUUCUUUCUUUCGGUGUUCAUACGGUUACAGACAUUUCACACAAAAUAUAGACUAAUUUUUAUAGAUCCUAGAGUGUUACUAAAAAAUUGAUUUUCUUCACGUAAAUGAGGAAACAUACAAAUAAAAAAAUUCCUUCAUUUCAAUGAUAAAUAAUAGCUAUAUGCUGACCAAAACAUUAAAUUUAUAUCUUUUCGAAAUGACUUUUGAUCGAAUGGAAUUAACUAUAAAUAAUAAACUAAAUAAUGGAAAAUUUAACGAGUCUAUUGUCUUCAAAUCAUGUUGACAAUCCUCAUCACCAUUAUGUAACAAAUUUUAUCGACUGAACUAACUGUAAAUUUUGUAAGAGUGAGUAUUUAACAAUACCUAGUAAAAUACAUACAAUUUCUAUAACAUAAUUAAAUAAAUCAAUAAAAUAGACAUUGACUGGUACAUAUAUAAUAAUAAAGUAAACUAAAUUUAACUUUUAUCCGAAUCACUUAGCAUAUGUUUGUUUAUCAUUCUCCAAAAACUCUUUUUUGCUAAAAUUCAUUUUCAAUCAUACAUUCAUAUAAUAAAAUAUUUUGCACGUAAAUCCAAAAUUUUUUGCUACUUUUUUACCACACUGCUCUAAAAAUCACUAUUCCAAAACUCAUUUUCUCCACCAAAAAAAAAAAAAAAAAACCUCUUUUUAAUGGACAUCGGGGCUUAAUUAGUACAUAAGCAUAUAUACAAACACGUAAUCAUGGCCGCCUAUUUCUUUUAAAUUAUUAAUUCACUUCAUUACUUUUAAUUAAAGAUGACUUUUUUUUACUACAAUAUCUUGAGUCCAACUUAUUUGGAUUAACUCUUCUCGAGCCAUAGUGCAUCAUUUAAUACGAGAUUAACUCUUAGCCCUAAAAUAUUUAAUUAUUUGAUCCAAAUAAAAAUAUUGCAUUAAGCACUUAUUUUCUCUUUAGUCCAUCAAUGAUUUAAAAAGCACCUAGGUCAAAAUUCUUAUCACUAGAUAAUAUUAUUCUAUAAAAUUUCGAGAGGAUAGAUUUGCUUUGUUAUUCUAUCUUAUUAUCAUGCACAUAGAAUUUGUGAGUUACUUUCCCCACUUUCUCCUUUUGUGCUUUCACCCGGGCUUUUCAAUUAAUGCUAGAUAAAAGGGUUUUUGGUUUGUGCAAUGGCCUGGAACAAGGGGGUAAUUGUGACAUUCAGUUAAUCGAAAGAUAAAGAUUUUGAGUCUUGCUCGGAUCAGCACGGGCGCAGAAUCAAAUGCAGAGCCGAACCUGAGCAUAGGCUCAACAAGCCACUACCUCAGGCCCAGCUCUUCAAGGGAGUCCAAAAUUAUUUUUUUCCCAUGUUUUCUUCUUCUUCUUCUUUUUUUUUUGGUUGGUAAAACCCACUAAUUAACGUAGAAGAAUCCUCCCAUAAUUGAGAUAUUUUGUAAAUAUCUUUUACGUUAAGUUUUAAGUUAGCAAUUGGCUGUAUAGUACACCGUUGGAUUUUGAUUUAUGUUGAUUUUGGGGGCUCAAUUUAUGGAGUUCGCCUUGGGCCCCUACAAUCACAGGACCGGCCCUGAUCAAAUGUGGUAAUAAAAUUAUCUAGAGAAGUAAGUUAAUCUAAUUAGCAUCAUCAUUAUCACAAUGAAAAGGCGUUGCACUAGUGAGAUGAACUCCAAGAUCAGAUAGAACAUGUGUCUUCUGAUUAUAAAGUUAAUUUUUCAUCUUUUGGCUAAAAUGUGAGUUAUACAAAAUUGGGGUUUUGUUCUUUCUUUUGUGUCUAAUUUAUCUCCCUUAAUCCUGCACAUUGAACAUGAAUAUUGCCUAAACAUUUGAGUUUUCUUCCCUAUUUUUUUGUGUGGAAAUUUGUUCCCUUUUUGAUAAACUUUAAGGUACCAAAAUGGACAUGAAAAUAGUAGAUGCUACAGUGCCAAAUGCCAAUGCUAUUAUCUCUCGGUUUAAGCCCUUUCGUACAGAAGGGAGGCUACAGAAGUUCACCAGAUUACUCACAUGGUGGGCCCCCAUGUAGAUGAUAAAAUAAUGCCAAAAAAUACCCACCAACCCAUGUUGUCUGUUGUCUGAUUAAAUUCUGUGCAAAGGGCUUCUAUACAUGUAGCUCUGUUGUUAUCUCUCUCCUCCUUCACUUCUUCAGCACAUUACAGUAUUUGUUUUGCAUAUUUUUGACUUACUAUUUGCCAAGUUUGUAUUAAGAAGGUGGAAAUCAGUUUGUUUGAAAAUGAUAAAGUUAGUCUUGUUCCGAUUAAAUUUCAAGUAGUCUACACGAUUUUAUAUAUUUUUUAUUUUUUUGUGUCUCACCAUUAGGUUCAGAAUUAUGUGAAAAGAUCCAAAAUAACUAAAUCCUCGUGACAACAAAAUGUGAUCAGAAAAUCAUUUCUUGAUUCUUUUUGUCUAUUGUUUUUGGGGAAUGAUUUUCUUUCUUUUCUUUUUUCCAAUUCUUUCUUAUCAAAUUUUAUAAAUAACAUUGAUUGGUGACUUUGGAAAACAGGAUAAAUUCUUGAGUAAUUUCAUGUGUACAGAACAAUAAUUGCCAGAUGUUUCAUAAAACUCUCACGUGGAGGUGGGCUCCAUGUGAAUAUUUUAUUGUAAAAAAUAAAUCACCCACCCCACUGUCGUGUAUUGGCCGUAGAAGUUAUGUAAACAACUUUUCUGUACAUCUAGACUGGUUGUAAAUUCUUUCCUAUUUUCAGCUUUUUUGUGUGCCCAAACCGAGUAAUCUUGAUUCUUGAGCCAUUUCUUAGGUUUCAUUAUUGCGCGAGAAUACUGUCUCAAGCAGCAACAUCAACACAGGCAUAAUAAAGUUGCCAUUACCACUACACCAGAAAAUGAACCAACUUUAUUAAUUUUAUCCCUUACUGUACCCUUCUUUUGUGUCUUUUGAUGCUAAUGCUUCUUCUAAUAAUCCAUUUAUGUGUAAGAUUAGUAGAGUGCAAUCAUGCUUAGCAUACAUCAUAUUUUACACUAUUUUUUACACUUUGUCAUGAUGUCAUUACAUCAUUGGAGAAUUUCAAAAUAAAACAGUUUUUUCAUCCAAUCAAUUCUUGACAACAUGGUUGAUGUCAACCAUGUUUUCAUCCUUUCAUACGUAUAUCUUUGGGUCAUUUUCAUUUUCAGCUUUUCAUCUACAUUUGUCCUUUCAGACAGAAACACGUGUAGUGGAAAUUGGAGACAUUCUUUCUUCUAGUGCAUGUUCGAUUUACAAGGUUAAAACUAUUCCUUGAAAGCUCUAACAAGCCCACAUUUGAUAACAAACAACAUAAGAGCAUUAGACACACAUAUGUUGUAGAGGCAAACAAUUUCCAGUAAUGGAAACUGCUCACUCACUACAUGUCGCAGUACCAAUUUUAUUUCUCCAUCUCAAUAAGGUAAUAUUAGCACACAGAAAUAAUGUCUUCAUGCAACUUUCCAAGUUGACAAAAGAGGAGUGUCAGAAUGCUCCCAUGUACCCAAACCAGGUCCAUAUCUAUCGCCCUUGACCGCAUCAGUUGAAGCAAUAGAUUCGAGUUCAGCCAUGUCUUCUUUCGUCAGUUUCACAGACAACGCUUCGAUGUUUUUAUUGAGAUUCUCGAUUUUCGUGGUACCAGGUAUGGGACACACAUCGAUUCCUUGAUGACGGAUCCAUGCUAAAGCUAGCUGUGAAGGGGUGCACCCCUUUCUAUUUGCCAUAUCAUUGACUCUCUCGAACAAACUCUUAUUAUGCUCCAGAUUCUGGGAUUGGAAUCUUGGAAAAUACUCCUAUAGACACAAAACACAUCUUUCAACAUCGAAACUACAACCACACCUAGUAAAAAAAUAACAUUUUGGGAGAGGGAACAAACCAACCUUUCGAGAGUCCCCUUCAGAUAAAGUUUCAACUAGUUUUGGACCGGAGGACAAGAAUCCCCGUCCAAGAGGACUAUAUGCUACUAUUCCAAUGCCAAGUUCUCUAAACAAUUGAACUAACGAUAGUGUUAGAAAUUAUAUUGCUUACUGGCUUAAAAAAUAAAAAAAUUAUAACAAUAAUCAUCAAACCUGCAAGUAGGAAUUAUUUCUUUCUCCACAUCUCUUGACCAUAAAGACCACUCCAACUGCACUGCUGUUAUUGGAUGAACAGCAUGUGCUCUUCUGAUUGUUGAAGCCGAGGCCUCUGAUAGGCCUAUAUAUUUUAUCUUACCUUCUUCCACUAGUUUCUUUAGUUCUCCAAUCUUGCAUAAAGAGAUAUCAAAAGGGAAUAAGAAGGGACUUAAGUAAGAAACGUGUGGAAUCAAGUUGAAGAUUACAAAUGAGAUCUAUAACUGUAAAUACACAAGUAGAAGGUAUGUUUCUGCUUCCAACUCUUGACAUCAAAACGUUAUGCGUUCGGUGAGAAGGUAAUUCUUUAGCAUGCAAUUCGACAUUAUCAAAUCCUAUUUAAAAAUAGGUUAUUAGGUAUAAUACAAUUUCAAAUCCAAUUAUCAGCAAGAAACAUCAUACUGUAGAAGUCCUCGCAUCUUGCAAACUUCUAACAAGGGUAAUGUAUAGAUUCCUAGUUUGGUUAACAUGUGGUAAUCCACUAACUCCUAACUCUUAUCCCAGGUCGAAACCAAAACUAGAAACUAAGAAAUAAAACUGUGGUGAAAAGUUAACUAGCUAAAUAAGUAUUCAAUUCUAUAUGACCUCACAUGGCAGUGUCGUUGGUUAGCUCCAAGGAAGUUCGUAUUCAAUAAAUUGAUGUCAUUCUAGUUGAACAGGUUAGUCAAUAGAAAGGAAGACCAUAAAUGACACGGAUUAAUUGAAUUACAGAAGUAAUGAUUAUACUGGACCUUUCAGAAGAUGCAAUGCUCGUAAAGCCAAGUAACGAAAAAUGAUUUCUGCUAUCGAACCUAUAAUAACAUGGUUUAAUGAGAUUAUAAAAGUGAUGAUUUUACUGAACCUUCCAGAAGAUGCAAUGCUUUAUAAAACAAAGUGGAGAAAAAUGAUUUGUGUAACUGAACCAGAGUAUUUUAUCAGAAAUAAGAUUUAGCAUGCUAUUGCAUUAGACAACAAAGUUUUAUUUAUUAGUUCCCAAGUGGGAGAAAAUAUCUGUAUAUUAGCAGAAUGGAAGGGCAUAAUUUGGAGUUGGGAACCAUAUAGACAUGACAAACAAUCAAAACAAAGCAACCCACAUAGAAUAUUUUCUGUAUAAUAAUUGAUACGAUACAUCAAAAAAGGUGUCUUUAUAUGCUUCGUAAUUUAAGAAAUUAUUUGGUUUUUAUUUCCUUGAAAAGGCGAUCUGAGAGAACGAAAAUUACACGACAUUUAUGUCAACUGGAUUACUGAAUUCUGUUUCAAUAUUCAUCAAUAGACUAAACAAGGUUGCUACUACUGUGUAGGUAAGGAACAAGGACGACUGUUGACCGUAGCUGAUUAAUGCACAGAUAAGAAAAUGCUAACUUUGCAUCAUCAAGAUCAAGUGAAAAUACGAAAUUAUAAGUCAUAAAACUGUAAAAUAUUGUAAAUGUAUCUUAGGAUGCCAUAUCAAUUAACUAGGUUUGCCAUGAAUCCGGUCACAUAUCCCUCUCUAGAUUAAAGGAUGAAACUCGUUCUACUCUAUCUUGAUUCUAUUGACACCGACUGCAGCUAAUACUAAAAUUUACAACUUGUGUAGAUGAUCUAUUUUCAAAAGUAUGAAAAAGAUGAGCUCGAUGCGAUCUUUCGUCAAAUAACCUUAACGUUUAGAAUCAAAUACGAGCAAGUUAACUCUUCUUUCUUUGGCCUAAUUGUUGAUUAGAAGACCUAACUUGUAUGAAUUUUCUAUUGGUUCAAUAUCAAUAAUGGCAAUUGUUUCAUUAUAUUAAAGUUACACGAGAUGCAUAAAAACAAAGGAGAAUAAGGGCUAACCGUGACUUCGAUAGGUACACGGGUGUCAAUGCGAUGUUGGUAAUAAAGAUCAAUGGAAUCAAUAUCAAGCCGCUUCAAGCUGGCCUCACAAGCAGCUCGUACAUAGGCAGGGUCUCCUUGUACAGAAAACUGGUUAUCCUGAAAUGUAAUCCCAAAUUUUGUAGCCAACUCCACUUUCUCCCUCAUCCCAUCCUUCAAAGCCUAUUCAAUUUGAUUAUUACAAACUGGCGACUAGAAGCAGUGCAGAACAAUAAAUAAACAAGGCAUAGUAAGGUCAAGAAUAGUCUCCAGGAAGUACAUAAAAGACCUACCUUCACCAUCAAAAUGAAAAUUGGUUAAAAAAUAAUUUAUUAAAUCAAUGUUAUAUUGCUUCCAUUAGACCUCCAAGCUACAGUAUUAUGAAGUCCUUGCUGCGGCAUUUAGUCGAACAUGAUAAACGCGUAAUGGCCCCCGGGACUAUUCUUGAUAAACCUAGUCUCAGCAAGACUCAGUGUAAGAGUUCAAUUCCUGAAAUUUUGUGGAUAUAGUAUAUUGGCAAACUCUUGUUUCCUGAUCUGUUGGUCACAUUUCGCGAUUUACAUUCCUCACCCUCACGAUACUUUAGAGGCGGGGGCGGGAGCCUCAAGAUUGGGAUUAAACUUCUUUUUUUUUCUUUUUUUUUUCCGGUAAACGCGUAAUGCUAAAAAAUUGCAGUCAGGAAAUAAGGGAAGAAAUUGUACCUUCCCGAGGAGGAUUUCAUUGGUGUGCGGUCCAUAGACGUCGGAUGUGUCAAGGAAGGUGAUGCCGGAGUUAAUGGCAUGGUGAAUGAGCUUGAUCAUGUCGGGUUCCGGCUUGGGCAGGCCGUAGAAUGCGGACAUGCCCAUGCACCCGAGUCCUUGCGCAGACACCUCCAAUCCCUGUGAACCAAGCUUGAUUCUUGGCACUUUUACACUGCGUUCUGCUGCCAUUAUAUUGGAAUCUGAAGGGUAUUUUCAGGUAGAGGAAGAAAUGAAAUUCCAGGUAAAAGAUAGGUAUUCCUCUUGAUUUAUAAAGAAAACUGCAAGGGAUGGCCGCUGAUCCAUGGCAACUGACUCUCAUUUCAUUUUCUUACUUUUUCUUUCUUUUAGACCAUACUGUAGGAGGAUUAACGUAAGUGACUACGUCAGAAACAGGGAAAAAGGACUAAAGUUGAAAUCUGCGGCAGUGUCGAAAAGGGAUACACAUUUAUGUCAGAAUUCUCUCCCCUUGUCACUUCACGGAAGAAGAAAGUUCAAUUAGACAUAUUAUAUGAACUUUAUUCAGCCCCGUAUGGCCCCCUUAACUUAAAUUUCAUUUUUCUCUCUUUUAUUUUUAAACAUACAUUCUUUCAUAUAAUAAUAUUAUACAUAAAUAAAUAAAAAAUUCUUCUUUUUUAACCACUAAUUCUUCAAAAAAAUAAUAUUCCACCCAUUUUAAUUGAAAAAAAGUAAGGGUCAAACAGGGGCUCAAUCACACUGCUUUUAUACUUUUGUAUUUAUUAAAAAGGUUUGAACCUCAACUUUGAGAUCUCCCACCAUUUUGUCCCUAAAGCUUUGUGAGGAAGAUAAAUCGUGGGAUGUGCUCCAACAGGUCAGGGAACAAGAGUUGUCUGUACACUGCGCCUACAAGGAGUCCAAUUCCAUGUCUCGAGAAUCGAACUCCCACACUACGACUACCAACAUACUUUUGUAUUUAUUGACCUUGUGUGAUGUGAGUGUUAAUCUAACUACUUAUUUGAAUAACAAUUAUUUAAAUUAAUGCUCAGACUUUUUACACAUCAUACUACAUCAAAAACAAUGUACAAUUUAAUUGUACAAAUAGCAUUUUAAGUUUAUCAUGAAUUGCUUCCCGUUGAUGUGAGCUAACAGUUUAAUGUUCCAUUUAGUCAACGUUUGACCCUCCUUUUUUAAAUCAAACAUUUCAUAACUUUUAUCAAAUCUACUAAAAAUUCGAUUUUAAUUUAAAUUAAAUGAAUUUAAUUUGUCGAACGACUAGAUUACUUACUCCCUUUGAUAACAGAGUUAUUUUAGGGCGAAAACCCUUGGACGUCUUGAUAACGUAGCAUGUAAGAGAUGAACUUGUGGUUGAGUAGAUGUUCUCGUCGACAUCUUGGUUUGGCAAGUCUCAUCUUUGCAUUUAGUGAAUUGUAGAUAUAAAAUAAAAUAAAAUAAAAUGAAUUGAAUCGAUUUAAAUUAUUAACCUAGUUAAAUUGAAAUCCACUAAAGUCCAUAAAGCCAAGGGCCCAUACCUCAUUUUAAAUAAAUAAAUCAAUAAACAAAUAAAACAAACAAACAAAUAAAUAAAAUCUUAAUUACUCAAUUAUCUCUUUUAAUUAAAUGUAAUUGAGUAAUUACCAAAAUUAGCACGAAUUCUCCCUUAUAAAUAGGACCAAUUGUCCAUAAGACAGGGGUACAAGGGGAAGAAGUGAAGAAGAAGCAAGAAAGAAAGCAGAGAACGCCACGAAGUGCUGAAAAAAUUUCAAGGCCGAAAGAAGGGAAGAAAUUCUCUAAAACCUAAGCUCGGUGAACCUAAGAAGAUUAAAAUCUUCUUCGAAUCAAACAAGUUCACUUCAAGUCCAAGAAGAUCAAAGUCUUCUUCAAAUCAAAUCAAAAUCAAGUUCAAGUCCAAGCCUCAAAAUUCAAGUUCCGAACAAAUCAAGUCUCGACAAAUCAAAUUUUCAACAAAUUCUCGAAAAUCAGGAUUCAAGCCACGUAGUCCCUCAUCUUCAAAUAUUCAGAUCAUUAAUCAAAGGAUUUUUAUAAUUUGCAAUUACAAGAAGGUCAACAUCAUUUGUAUUUAUCAAAAUACAAUUUAUAACGAUUCCUGUAUUUUAAUACACGAAAUUUCGUUCUACAAAUUUCUUGGCACGCCCAGUGGGACCUUCUUGUCCUCUCAUCUUUUAAUCUCAAAAUCAUCAAGUUUCAACUACAAUAUCACCAAUGGCAGGCGAAAAGGCGAAACAAACUAUGACUCAUCUUGAAGAAACACUUGUCGAACUCUUUCGUGCAACCAGGGCCCAAACAAAAAUUGGGAAAAGUCAACUGAUCACGCUACUGAAGAAGUUCUCCAAGAAGCCAAACUCUCAUUUGAUAGAAAAAACCAAGAGUUCAGCGAAAAGUUCUCGUUCGGGCUCCAUCUCCAAUGGUAGAUCCUUGUCUGGAUCCCCUCAUGCCACUUUUCAACAAAAGUGGGAAGAUGAUGCCUCAUCUGAAGAAUCACUUGAGCCAGUGAUGAUCACAGAAACGACAUCGGGCUCAGAUGAUUGAAUUCAACAAGGGACUUUAGCCAUUGAAAAAUUAACAAAGUCAUUGUAAGACAAAGAUGCACACAGAUUGCUGCACUCAUACACAAGCCAGAGUCCUAAAAUCCACCGACUAAAGAAGAUCAAGAAAAUUCAGGAUCUUCCAAGGUCAAAGAGCUAGAAGUUCAAGAGCGCCAACAAAAGCAAGAUAUGCUCGAUCGAACAGUUGUUCAAAACGUGUUGCGUGACACCAAUCAAUUCUUCGUUGGCUCUCUGUCCGUCCAACAACUUCAACAUAUGAUUGCAGACACCAUUCAUGCCCAGUAUGUUGGUUCAUUACAAUCUUCAUUGGUUUAUGCCAAGCCCUAUAGUCGUCAAAUUGACGCAAUAAAGAUGUCACUCGAUUAUCAACCUCCAAAAUUUCAGUUUUUUGAUGGAAAGGGCAAUCCAAAUCAACAUGUUGCCAAGUUUAUUGAGACUUGUAAUAAUGCAGGUACUUACAAUGACACUAUGGUGAAGCAGUUCGUACGCUCCCUCAAAGGUUUUGCAUUUGAAUAGUACACGGACUUACCGACAGGAUCAAUUGAUAGUUGGGAUCAGCUCGAAAGAGAGUUCCUAACACGCUUCUACAACACUCGACAAACUAUCAGCCUUCCAGAACUUGCUCGAAUAAAGCAGAGCAAGGAAGAGCCUGUUGUGGAGUACAUUAAACUCUGGAGGAACCUUGUUCUUAAUUGCAAAGAACAGAUAAGCGAAGCAUCUUCUAUCGACAUGUGUGUACAAGGCAUGCAUUGGGGAUUACUCUAUAAUCUCCAAGCAAAUAUGCUCACUCAUUUGAAGAAUUGGCAACACCUGCUUAUGACCUAGAGCUCCAAAUUGCGAAGCAUAGGAGUUACUUACCAAGUGAUCCACGUGACAAAAGGGAUCCUAAGAAGGAGAUAAACAAGGACGCCAAGGCAAGUAAGUCCAAAGAAGCUAUGGCAGUUUCUAUUGCUCCUGCAAAGAUAGCUUUCCAGGGGUUGAGCUCGAAUCCAAAAUCAAAGCUAGAGUUCAGACCUAACAAAGGACAAGUCCAAAGUAGAGGUCAUGUGAGUCUGAAAGAACUUGAAGGAAUGGAGUACCCAUUCUCAAAUUUUGAAGUUUCUAAAAUUCUAGAUCAGCUCCUUGAACAGAAAAUAAUCGAACUUCCAAUACCAAAAAGACCUGAGGAAGCUGGCAAGAUCGAUCAUCCUAAAUACUGUAAAUUUCACAGGAUCAUUAGCCAUCCAGUGGAAAAAUGCUUUGUUUUAAAAGACUUAUUGUUCGUUUGGACAAAGAAAAUAAGAUCAAACUUGAAACCGGAGAAAAUCCAACAGCCGCCUGCUCGAUGGUUUCAUUUGGAUAAUUUGAUCCAAUUCCCAUUCUAGGAAAGAAACAAACAUUCUCUGAUGUACACGAUGCCUGUAAAUCCUCAGUUAAGGAGUUUGGGCCUCAACUUCCAGAAAGAGCCAUCCCAGUGGAGUUUGAGGUAGAUGGAGAAGUUACUAUCAGUUAUGUCUAUCCAGGGAUGGAUGGAUCAAGCGCACCCUAUCGUCUAAUCUUUUAUGAAAUUAUGACAGGUGACUUGGAUGUUUGGGAUUCUGACCCAUAAUCUGAAGACGAGAUCGAUGACCACUAGUCCACCUUCAUAAACAAGAAGGAGAAAUAUCGAAUGUCAAACAAAACAGGUAAAAUAUUACCUUCUAUGCCUUUUGCAGGAACAGAGCUGGAGGGAUUGGGUACAAAAAUUCAACCCAAUAAAGAGAAAACAUUAGAAGAAAAUCAGGGGGCAUGGACCCUUGUGAAAAGACAUCGUCAAAAGGCUCCACAACUCCCAAAUUCUAAUGCUUGUGACAAAAAAUCAGGACCAAGGAACGACCGAAGAAGGUCUAAAGCCAAAUGAAGAAGAUUCACUAAAUCGAUGGGGGUUGAAGCUGCUUCACGCAUUCUUCCCAGAUUGCCAACUUUGGGUGAUUAUUUCCCCAAGGGUUUCUUUGAUAAAGAAUGUUUUACAUCCAAUGUUAUCAAUGUAGAGAUGAAAAAUGCAUCCGGAGAGACUUUAAAACAGAAGAAAACCAUCUCACGGCUCAAUAAUAUUCCUACCAAUACGAGCCUAGCAAAGUCUCUUAGUCUUCCUCUCGAUGAUUGAAUGGCUUUGGUCGCAGCUUUUAUCGAUCCGAAAGAAUACAAAGGCAAAGUUCUAGAACAUAUUGGAUCCACAACUCCUCAAGACUGUAUGGCCGCCAUAACAUUCGACGAUGAAGAUUUACAACUGGGUUCUCGUCCACAUAAUAGACCACUGUAUGUCAGUGGUUAUAUUCGAGAAUGAAAGAUAAAUCGCAUAACGAUCGAUUAUGGAUCUGCUGUGAAUAUUAUGUCGAUCAAAACAAUGAAGAAAAUUGAAAUUAAUAUUGGUGAUCGUCCAGAAGCAAAAUCAUGAUUCAAGGAUUCAAUCAGAAAGGUCAACAAGCCAUUGGCAUGAUUCGCUUGAAGUUGCAAAUAGUAGAAUUAAUCUCCUCAGCUCUCUUCCAUGUCAUUGAUGCCAAAAACAGCAUACGAGUUACUUCUUGGACGUGUUUGGCUACAUGAAACUGGAGUGGUACCUUCCACUUGGCAUCAAUGCUUCAAAUAUAGCCGAGAUGGAGAAGUUAGAUGUGUGGUAGCUGAGUCUAAACCAUUCCUUGAAGAAAAAUCUAAUUUUGCUGAUGGCAAAUUUUACAUGAAAAAUGAAGAGUGCAAUUCUGCAGGGUUAACCAUGUCUGGAUUCAAAAUCAAAGAAGGUGCAAAUGAUCACGAUACGUCUAGCGUUACUCAAUCUCAUCAACUUAUCAAAGGCAAGCCAAAAUUUACAUCCGGAGGAUUCUCUAAAGGCAAAAAAUCUCAAAUAGAAGCAACCGAUGUUGAGGUAUUGAGAAAAGAGUUAACUCUCCUAAUACCUAGUAUUCCAAAAUUGCUUCUGCCCCAUAAAUUCAUGGCGGUCCGAGAGGAAUAUAAACCUAAAUCAAAGGCUUCGACAUCCGUUCUAGACAUAUCAAAGCUUUGUAUUUUUAGCUUGUCCAAACAAGAAGGAGUUCCUGAAUCAAAACAGACUUUCAAAGGAUAUUACAAUCCUCAAGUCAAGAAGUUGUUUGAAAAUGCCGGGUUUGGAAAGGAGAGCCUCGAAGAUUAGGUGAUUUUGAUGCUGUCCUUUUAGGAGGACUUGUCCCUUCUAAUUAUGAUGGAGCCUUGGUGUCUCAACUUAGGUAUGGUUUGAGAUAUGAUCCUAAUCCACCGAGGAAGAUUAAGGUCAAGAAGGUUUCCUCAAACCCCAUCAUGGUUCAAAUUUAUGAAGUUGUAGAAGAGAAAUCAGAACAAUCGAGACCUUCAGUAUUCAAUCGAAUUGAAAAUAAGAAUGCUAGAGUUUUGGUGUUUAAAAGGUUAAAAGGAGAACCCUCUCCAGUGGUCGACGUAAAAGGUAAAGUUUCUGUCUUCCAAAGAUUAAAUGAAGAUUCUUCUUCUUCUUCUACCAAAAUUGAUAGGAAUGCACAAGCUCCCCAAAUGUCAUUCCAAAGACAAUCUGCAUUUUCUCGACUUGGAAUUGAAACUUCUGAUCCAAGUCUGAAACCACAACGAUCAAGAAGAAGACGAAGGCAUCAAAAAGUUCACUCAUCUCCACAAGGUAAUAAAGAUAAGGAAAAAGUUUCUAUCAAUUAUAUAGCCUUUGAAGAAGCUCCUGACUCAGACUCUGGGUUCGAAAGUUCUGUCGCAACAGAUGAACCUGAACCAGCCCCACCUACCUUUGAAGAAGGGGGGCAACCUACCAGCGGGCAAUGCAAAAUAUUUUCGAUGACAUGUUGCAUAAGAACGUGGAAUGUUAUGUAGAUGAUCUUAUUGUUAAAACAAAAAGACGUCAACGAUCAUUUACAAGAUUUACAUGAAGUUUUUAAAAGAUUUCGAAGACAUCAACUGAAGAUGAAUCCAUUGAAAUGUGCAUUUGACGUCACCUCUGGAAAAUUUCUCGACUUCGCUGUUUGACACCGAGGCAUUGAAAUAGAUCAAUACAAAAUUGAUGCCAUAAUCAACAUGCCAGAGCCAAAUGUACGUGAGUUGAAAAGUCUUCAAAGAAAACUUGCAUACAUUCGAAGAUUUAUCUCUAACUAGGCCGGACAAUGUCAUCCAUUUAACAAAUUGGUGAAGAAAGAUGUAUUAUUUGAGUGGGACGACACUUGUCAAAAUGCUUUCCAAAGCAUUAAGCAAUAUCUGUCUCAUCCACCGGUACUCACAGCCCCAGUCCCAGGGAAGCCACUAACUCUUUAUGUUGCAGCACAAGAAUAUUCUCUAGGAGCACUUUUUGUCCAAGUCAAUAAUGAAGGAAAAGAAAAUGCACUCUAUUACUUGAGUCGGUCACUAGUAGGUGCUGAAAUGAAGUAUUCGCCUAUUGAUAAAAUACGCCCCGCGUUAAUUUUUGCAGCUAAAAAAUUGAGGCAUUAUAUGUUAUCACACACAAUCAAUCUUGUUUCAAAGAUUGAUCCAUUGAGGUACAUAAUGUCCAACCAAUUCUUUCUGGAAGGAUUGGAAAAUGGGCCUGCUAUUGUUUGAGUUUGGUAUCAAAUUUGUCCCAUAAAAGGCCAUUAAGGGACAAGCUUUGGUAGAUUCCUUUGCUGAACACCCAAUUCCAGCGAUAUGGGAACUUCAAGAAGACCUCUCGAUGAAGAAGUUCUAUUUAUUGAAAUCAUACCAUCAUGGAGGCUAUACUUCUACGGGGCAGGCCGAAGCUAUGGUGCCGGAACAGGAGUAGUCUUUGUCACUCUACAUGAUCUUGUCAUACUUUACUCUUUUGCUUUAACAGAGAAAUGUUCUAACAACGUGGUGGAAUAUCAAUCCAUUAUCCUUAACUUAGAAGCAGCGUUAGCUAUGGAUAUCCACCAGCUGGAAGUCUUUGGAGAUUCAAAAUUGAUAAUCAAUCAACUUUUAGCUGAGUAUGAAGUCCGUAGUUCAAACCUGAAGCCAUAUCAAGAAUAUGCAUCAAUGCUUAUGAGAUGAUUUGAUUCGGUAAAAAUCAAAUUCGUUCCGAGAAGUGAAAAUAGGGAGGUUGAUGCCUUAGCUAAUUUGGCCGCUAUUUUAGCUAGGUCAGAUUGAGACUUCUCUCACUCCAUAUCAAUUGUUCAAAGAUGGGUACUUUCAUCGUUGUUACCUAGUAAUUUGGAAGAAAAUAAUAGUGUCGAAGUAGUCAAAGAUGAGGAAAGAGAAGAUUGGAGACAGCCGAUAAUCGAUUUUCUUCAACAUCAAAAGCUACCAGAUAAUCCACGAUGAAAAAUUGAAAUUAAGAGGCGUGCCUCUCGCUUUAUCUUUUAUAAGGGAACCCUUUAUAAAUGAUCAUUUGAUGGAGUUUUCCUUCGAUGCCUAAGUAAUGAUGAAGCAACACAAGUCGUGGAAGAAGUCCACUCUGGAAUUUGUGGUGCCCAUCAGUCUGGAUCUAAACUCCAUUUUUGAAUAAAAAGGAUGAGGUAUUACUGGCCAACUAUGUUACAAGACCCCAUGGAUUAUGCAAAAAAAAUGUGAAGCUUGCCUGCUGAAAAAGAUUGUCUCCAAAUCAAAAAGAGAUUGGCAUGAGAAAAUCGGUGAUGUCUUAUGGGCUUAUCGAACUACUUAUCGGACUUCAACACAAAUCACUCCUUACACCUUAGUACAUGGGGUGGAAGCUAUACUUCCUCUGGAGUGUCAAAUCCCGUCACUUCAAAUUGUCAUCCAAGAAGGUUUGACAAUUGAAGAAAAUUCCUGUCUUCCAUUGGAAGAGUUAGAAGCUUUGGAUGAGAAGAUGUUAGAAGUACAAAUGCACCUGAAGUGCUAUCAAGCUCGAAUGGCGAAGUCCUUCAACAAGAAGGUGCGACCAAGAUCAUUUCAAGUUGGAGAUCUAGUGCUUUCCGUGCGUAGGCCGAUCAUAAUUACGAGAAAAAUAGGGGGCAAGUUUUAGCCUAAAUGGGAUGAUCCAUUUCUUGUUACUCAUACAUUCACUAACGAAUCGUACAAGAUCAUUGAGAAAGAUGGACUGCAAAUUGAGCCUAUUAAUGGAAACUUUUUAAAGCGUUUUUAAUCCAGAAGUUCUUUAUUUUUUUUUAAAUUUUCAUUGUAAAAAAAAUUAUGUUUUUGUAAUGAACUACGUUCGACUUGAUCUCGUUUGUAUACGUAGGCAGUUUGAAUAAAUUAUAAAUUCAAGUUCAGUUACAACUAAUAAAUUUAUUCAAUUUGUUUACCACUCACUAUAGUAAAAAAAAAUGAAAAAGAAAAGUUCAUCCAAAUAAAAAUAUCAAGUCAAAAUUCAUACAAUAUGGUCUUAAAAAAAGAUCAGAAAUUUAUGACUACAUUAGGAUCACUCGCAGGAAACUAUCUUCAAGUGUCUUCCUUUUCUGGUCAAUGGAUGCUAUGCUAGCAACAUUUCUUGUCUGUGCUUCUUCUAAUGCUGCCUUCUUGGUUCCAAUCAUACUUUUCUCUUCCUCUUGGGCUUGAAGUUCAUCACGGAGUCUAUCUAACUCAAAAGUUAGCUGACUAAUUUUGCCUCUCAAAGAAGAACACAUGGAAUCCUUUACUUCCAGUUGAAUGUUCAAAAGUUUUAACUGCUCAUCCUUUUCUUCAACUGUUGGACAAUCCAAGUGUUGUUUUCUUUCAGAUAAGUAAGAGUCGACUUCUUUUAAAAACACAUCCAUACGCUUCAUCAAAGUUACUGGGUCUACGUGGAAUGACUUGGUAAUUACAUUUUGAAACAUUAAAUUAUUUUCAUCCCACCAAGAUCGGAUGCUGGAGAAUCCAUGCUUCAAAACGUCCUUAAAACACUUUUGAAGGUAAUUAGUCAUAGCUUCUUACAGAGCAGCCUUCAGAUAAGGAGACUCUUGGGUAAUUCCAGACGGAGGACCAGACAUGGAAGAACAUAUUGGUGUAGCUCGUUGAUUAUUUGUCUGUGAAGGCGGGAUACUAAUUGAAGCCAACGAAGAUAGAACAAUAGGGUCUCCUUGAUUGAUCCCUGAGAUGUUAGCUCCCACGAUCCCUAAAUUCGCUUCAUCUUCAUUAUUAAAAUUAUCCAUGAUAAGCAUCGAAAUACCUCCAUUGAUAGUGCUCGAAUAUUUGAAAGGAGGGUCAUGAGAAUCGUGAAUACCAUCUAUUCCUUGAAGUGCAUCGAUUCGACCGUCAUUCUGCCAGUCUAAUCUUGCAAAAAGUUUGGAUUCAUGAAGAAAUUUAGUUUUUCAAGAAUGCUCGAAAAAUCUACAAAAAAAUGAAGUAUGAUUCCCAAAAAAAAAAAAGGUACAGCAAACAAAAACAAGGAACAGACUUGCAUUUCGUGUCCUAGGUGACAUGUCUAAAAAUUCAUCGUCUGAUGGUGUGUUCGAGAGGCUGAUGUUACUAUGAGAAGCUCCAACUUCACCUUUUGAAAGAUUCGGAAUAGCUUGAAGUUGCCUCGGUUUUACUGGUCGUUUGAUUUUGUAUAAUCGUGAAAGAGGAACCUAAAAUUGAAGAUUGUGACAGAAAUCAAAUACAAGCGUUACGAUAAAAAAAUAAUAAUAAAAGAACUAUACCCGAUCUCUAGAACUUUCAUCUUCUAGAGUCAAAGUCUUUCCCGGUGCUUGUGAUGCUCGAUCUCCAGGAUUAUUGUGAUCUGGAAUCAAAAUUGCUUCUGGCACCUUAUCAACAGGCUCAGAGGUGGCAGCAAUCUUUGCCGAGGGAACUAUAAUUUUGAUUCUCCUAAUGCCUAUUUCAUUUUGCUGGUUUGGAUCCCUCUUUCGAGAAGCCUCUUCAGGAGUAACAUUUGGGGGGGUUUAACCCUAUAGCUAAAGCCCUGUUCGGAGUCGAGCCAAGAACAAAGUCACAGCUCUCACUAGAAAAUAAGAUUUGCACGUAACACUUCGCUAUUCCACCAAGCCUGGUAUUAAACAUCAACGUUUUGAUAUAUAUCUCUCACAUACUAUGGAAUAUGAAAUACGGAGUCACUUUUCGUCCCAGUCAAGGACAACCAAACCCGAUACAUGUCGCCUACACUGGGGGCAAUAUUCAACUUUCUUGGUGAACCAGGAAGUUUCUGUCUAAAGCCAAACUGUCUCGCAAACCUAUGAGGAUUAUACGCCUCAAGAAUGAAAGGUAAAUUUCCUUGACGAUAAGAAACAAAUCCAAAUCGAAUACUCAUCAUGAAUUCUGAAAUAUCUACAGACCUCGGUUGUCAUCUACACGUACAUCAGGAUGAGACGAUGAGGGUAAUGAAUUUCAGCAAAAGUCACUGGAUUUCAUCGCUCCACGGAUAAAUUCCCAACAAUCAACAACAUUUUUCUCCCAAGACUGAAAAGCAUUCAGAGUGCCAGCAUAUCUUCGAAUUAUAGGGCGAGAAUAACUCUUGUCCACAUGAGCAUAAACACUUUGGACAAAAUAAGUUGCCGCCCAAGUAUAAAGAAAAUGUCCAGAAAAUGAAUGUAAAAUUGAGCCAAGGUCUGGGUUUGUCUGAUAUUUAGAUGUUCGUGUAAGUCCACUAUAAAUGCUCGCCAAUAUGGGUGGGACCGGGCUAUAAGUGUAUCCGCCUGCCAUCCUAGAAGAUGCUUUAAAAAUCCCAACUCUUAUACUUUCAUCCUCAGAUGGAAGAACGAAAUGACAAAGCCAUAGGGAGAGAUAGAUUGCUAUCUCUAAUUCUUCUUCUUCCAUAGACAGAGAUACUAGCAAAUUACUUCAAUGACGUCGAUCCCUACGAGUAAUGUCUCUCGACUUGUCUGCCACCACGGGCCUCCGUAUUUCCUUCGAUACUCUUUGAUGAUGUCUCUUGAAUGGAUUUAAAUUCAUAGCAUUCUUAUCAUUUUUGUGCUGCCGAGGAUUCUAGACACAACCAUUCUCGUGAAACCAAAAAUUAAUCCACUGUUAGAGAGGAACCCUGUCAAAUUUAUUAUCAUGGGCAAUCAAUGCGAAAACAUUAAAGAGGUAUAGACAAGACUUGGAAAGAUGAUCCGUUAACUAUGAAAGGCUUGGGACCACUUCCUCAUAAUAAUGACCCAUAAUCGAAAGUCCACUUAUCUCGCGGAUGUCCUAAGGAGAAAUGCCAAUUUCACCAUUAGCAAUCACAAAGAUGUUGGUCUCUGGACACCAAAUCUCACAAAGCACCCUAUGAAUAGAGUUUGGGCGAUGGUGAUCUUUUGUAGCAGAACCGAUUGCAAAAACUAAUUCGCGAAAGUUCCUCUUGAGUAGAAGUUUCUGGACCCACAAAGACCACUCCCAAAAUUUUGGAAGAAAAGAAAUCUCUCCUCGACUGACCAGUGCGCUUUCCCAUCGUAUUUCUCUAUUAUCAGUCCUCUCACAAAUCACAGCCCUUGGAAUACAUUCCAUGCUCUGGGAAUGAUGAGGCGGAAGACACAAAAAUGGAAGAUGAUUGCUAGAGCUAUUGGACUUGCCAGUAUCCAAACUCUCUUGACAUUCACUAAUGGUGUGCAUAUGCAACUCCGACAAUGGCUCCGGAAGAUCAGGGGAAGGAUCUGUCAUUGACUUAUGGACAUUAAAUUUAAGUUCACCCCGUAUGCUAGUUUGGGCAUGGUAUUUCACAUCAGUGUCUUUGAAACACAGAUAAUUUUUACCUUGAUUUUUAAGCUCAACAAUUUCGUGUAUGUCAGAGUACACUUUAUCACCAGAACUUGUUCCACCCAUGCUUGCAAAAAAAAAAAAAAAGUCAACUAAAAAAAGGGGGCAAUAAACCUCUAAAUUGGUUUAUCGUCUAAAAUCACAAGUCUCCCAAAUAUGUAAGCGGCCUCUACAAAAAGUGCCUUGGAUGGUUGAAGGAACAGGUCCCUAGUCCUCAACACAAAGUGUCUUUGACAGUUGAAGGAACAGGUCCUUGGUCUUCAACGCAAAGUGUCUUGGACAGUUGAAUGAACACGUCCUUGGUCCCAAAAAUGAAGUGCAUUAGACGUUAGAAGGAGCCAGUCCUUGGUCCUUAACCCAAAGUGUAGUGUCUUGGAUAGUUGAAGGAACAUGUCAUUGGUCCCAAAAAUGAAGUGCCUUGGACGAUAGAAGGAGCCAGUCCUUGGUCAUUAACCCAAAGUGUCUUGGAUAGUUGAAGGAUCAGGUCCUUGGUCCUCAAUACAAAGCGUCUUGGACAGUUGAAGGAAUAGGUCCUUGGUCCCAAAAAUGAAGUGCCUUGGACGAUAGAAGAAGCCAGUCCUUGAUCGUUAACUCAAAGUGUCUUGGACAAUUGAAAGAAUGGGUCCUUGGUCCUCAACACAAAGCGUCUUAGACAGUUGAAGGAACAGGUCCUUGGUCUCAACAAUGAAGUACAUUGGACGAUAGAAGGAACUGAUCCUUGGUCCUCAACAUAAAGUGUCUUUGGAUAGUUGAAGGAACAUGUCCUUGGUCCCAACAAUGAAGUGCCUUGGACGAUAGAUAAAGACAGUCCUUGGUCCUUAACACAAAGUGUCUUUGACAGUCGAAAGAACAGGUCUUUGGUCCUCAAUAUAAAAUGUUUUGGAUGGUCGAAGAAACGAGUCCUUGGUUUCCUACAAAAGUGCAUUGGAUAGUAAAAAGUGGCAGUCAUUGGUCCUCAAUGUGUAUGAAGAUUUGAAAUUUUAAGUUUGUUCAUAAGUAUAUAUUUCCCGAACUCAUAAAAUAAUUACAACGAAAAAAGGAAAGAAAAAAAAUUCAACCUCUACACGAAAAAAAUCUUGAAUCUCAAAAUCUUUGAUUUCCUCCAAAGAAUUGAAACCAUGGAUAAAAAAAAAUGAAGAAUGUUUGUUUCAACUUUGUUAAAACAAAAAUACAAAAAGCAAAUAAUAAUAAUAAUAAUAAUAAUAAUAAUAAUAAUAAUAAUAAUAACAACAACAACGAUAAUCAACCCAAAAAAAAAGGUGAGAGUUAAAAAAAAGGGAGGGAAACGAGGUAUUGCCGUGUUUCAAUUGUUGGAAUUGGUCAAUUCCAAUAGUUGGGAUUAUUUUGGUUUCCACAGGAAAUCAUUAAAAACAAAAAAAAUGAAAAGAGGAAACCAAUUUUUUUUUUCCUGCUAUUGCAGAAAGUGAGAAAACCAAAGUCAAACUUUGGUUCCGCCAUUACAGAAACCACUAAAAUCAAACUUAGAGUUUAUUUGGGAAUGAUUUUAAGAAUUGAUUUUUUGACUGUUAGGAAAAAAAUGGGAUCUACCUGUGAGACAAAUAAUCAAUUUUUUGAAUGAAAAAAUCGCCUCCAAAUAGGGCCUUAAUGGCAGAAACCAAACGGAUUGCGGCAAAACUAUUAAUUAAAAAAAAAAAAAGAGCUCAAACAUUUCUGUCAUUCACAGAAAUCGAGGAAAACCAUUCUAAUUGUAACAAUUCCAAUUGAAUAACCAAUUUUGAGACGGUGGUUGCCAAAGAAAUCAAGAAGAAUUAAAAAUAAAAAAUAAAAAUAUAGAGAGAGAGAGGUGAAAGAGGCGAAAAUUUUUUCUUUGUUUGUAAAGUUAAUUCAUUUAUGUCAAAAUCUUAUAAUGCAUUCAUAUAAAUAGGCGGAAAACGGACUUCACUUAAAUCCAAUUUAUCAUGAAAAAAAAAAUCUGUUUAAAUCAAAUUUGAUAUGGGUCUAUAAAAUAAAUAAAUAAUCAAAAUUCAAUAAAAAAAAUUCUUAUUCUCAAAUUUGAAGGAUAAAUUUUUUAUCAAAUUCACGUUUUGCUUUCAAAUCUUCCAUCCGUAUUAAUUUAUUAAUGGGAAGUUUGAGGUCAAAUAAAAAAAAAAAUUUCAAAAUCGAACCAAUUAAAAAAUAAAAUCGAAAGUCAAGAUUUAUUAAUUUAUUUAUUUCAUAAUAAAUAAAUAAAUCUUGAGGGUGCAUUUGUAGACAUAAAAAAAUAAUAAAUAAAUAAAAUAAAAUGAAUUGGGUUGAUUUAAAGCAUUAGCCCAAUUAAAUUGAAAUCCACUAAAAUCCAUAAAGCCCAAGGGCCCAUACAUUUUAAAUAAAUAAUCAACAAACAAAUAAAAUAAAAAAUCAUAAUUACUCAAUUAUCUCUUUUAAUUAAAUGUAAUUAAGUAAUUACCAAAAUUAGCACGAAUUCUCUUCUAGAAAUAGGACAAAUGGUCCAUAAAACAAGGGUACACGAGGAAGAAGUGAAGAAGAAGCAAGAAAUAAAGCAGAGAACGUCAUGAAGUGCUGAAAAAAUUUCAAGGUCGAAAGAAGGGAAGAAAUCCUCUAAAUCCUAAACUCGGUGAACUCUAAGAAGAUUAAAAUCUUCUUUGAAUCAAACAGGUUCAUGUCAAGUUCAAGAAGAUCAAAGUCUUUUUCAAAUCAAAUCAAAUUCAAGUCCAAGUCUCAAAAUUCAAGUUCUGAACAAGUUAAGUCUUGGCAAAUCAAAUUUUCAACAAUUUCUCGAAGACCAGGAUUCAAGCCACGAGGCCCCUCGUCUUCAAAUAUUCAGAUCUUUAAUAAGAGGAUUUUUGUAAUUACAAGAAGGUCAACAUCACUUUUAUUUAUUAAAAUACAAUUUGUAACGAUUUCUAUAUUUUAAUACAUGAAAUUUCGUUUUACAUGAAUAAAUUACUAUUAUCGUUGAAACAUAUGUAGUUGAGUGCCAGGGGCGGAUCAGCACCUGACGAGCCGGCGAGGCUGCCCGUGCUGGAUCCGCUGGUGAAAAAUUUAGUGAAGGUUUAUAUUAAAUAUUUAUCUAUUGUGCAAAAAAUUCAAAUUGAUAUGAGGAUUGUGUGGUUGCGUCCUUGCCUUUGCAUUAAGAUACACACAGGUUCGAUUCUUUUGGCUUGCACAAUGCUUUUUAAUUUUUAACCACAAUAAUUAAAUAUAAAUAAAAUAUUGUACUUCCAGCAAGCAAGGAUAGCUCAUGUGGUAGAGGGGGUCUUCUUUGUAUGUAAAAAGUAUGGGGUUCAAUUCCAUAUCUAUCCACCUUUUUGUUUAAUUUUUUUUGUUUUUUUUUUAACAAUAAAUAAUAACUAAACAACUAAAAUUUUCUUUUUUGAAAUAAUUUCUUUAAAAAUUUUAUUCACUCUAAUUAUUACUUCAUAAUAUAGAUACUUUUAUCAUUAUGUUUAAUCAAUUUAUUUUAUAAAAUUCAAAUUUGGACAAUCUAAGAAUUGCUCUUUAUUCUUUUAAGAGUUUGGAAAACAAUUUUAUUUUGGGAUAAAAAAAUAGUUCUAGUUCUAAAAAUCAUUGUUUUCAAAAUUUGGUUUUGUUGCUAUUUUUUUAUUUAUGACUCAUGAAUAGUGAUUUAUGUUCGAUGAGUUAAUUGGCAAUUUGGCAUUAAAAUGAGAAUUGUAAAUUUGGGGUUGGGAUAAAUAAUUCAUGUUGUACAAGUCAUUGAGUUAUGAGUUAUAAUAUAUCAUUUAUGAGUUUUGAUUUGUAAUUUGAGAAUUUAUGUUUAGGAAUUUAGGAUAAGUGAAAAAAAUAUAUAUAAUUGAGAAGAUGUUGGGUUCAAUUCAACUAUGUGUGUUUUGUUUUUUUAAUCAAUUAUAAUUGAAAAAAAUUAGGGCAUUUUUUCAAAUUAUUGAAUGAUUUUUUCAACCGAAACAAAAGUCCAUAUCUAUUUAUUCUAAUUCUAAUGGUACAUCUUAGUUCUUUUAGGUCCAGUCCAUACGAAAUUUUGAAUAUUAUUUAAUUAAAUAUUAAUAAACGACAAUGUUUCGCUAUUACGGACAUUGACCAUUGACAGUAAACAUUCAACUUUCGCGGUUCGUCCUAGCUAAAUUUGAAGCCUAGAUUCGUCCUUGCCGAGUGGUCCAUUAGUGCUGGUUGUUCAUGAUGAUAAUAUCAUGCAAUCUAGAAGAAUGAAUACAAAUUUACUUAAUCUAAUGCUUGAAUUCGACAAUUUAUUUGGCAUGAUCAAUGAUCAAAAAAUGUUUCGUCAAACUGGGACUCAAUGAACAAGAAUGAAUACCUUUGAUAGAUUAUCUUCUGGUUGAUUUUGAGAAGUAGCGUUCAUUUAGCUUUCCCAAUUACACGUAAUUAAAUAUAAAUGAAUAAAAUUAAGAUCUGUAGAAUCAUAUUCUUUUUCAUUGCUCUUCUUUCGUUUUUGUUUCAUCAUUUUGAAUUUUUAUUUUAUUUUUUUAUAAAAUAAUAAACUAUAUCCAUUUUUUUAAUGGAUUAAAUUCUUUUUAUUUUAUUAUCAUAAUAGUGAUUAAAAUCUUCUCUAUAAUCUUUUAGCAUUUUGAGAUAGAUAUGAGAAAGAUGAAUAAUUUAGUUAAAUUCCAUAAAGCAAAAUAUAAAGAGAGAAGAGUUUACAUUAAAGGAGAUUAGCUCUACAGCAAGAAAAUCAAUCCUUCAAUAUAUGUGAGUUAUAUUAGGUGAAUGAUACCAACUUGAAAACGAUUUAAAAAAAUAUAUAUUAAAGGUAAAUCACUUCAAAGCUCGCUGAUAAAUGUUGUUAUCUGUAAAAGAGGCACUUUACACCUGGGAUAAAACAUGGCACAAAACAUAUACGAGCUUGCAUCCACCUGAAAGAGUUACGAGGCAAAGCCACUACUUCGAACUCUCAAAGUAUAACAGUCGCACAAUGUCAAUAGCCGUUGAUAAAAACGAUUAAGACAAAAAGGGAAAGAUAGCCUCGGAAUAAAAGAAAGGGAUAAGUAAUGAUCGCACUUAAGCGGCUUGCCUCCCAACUUGCACCACCACCACCACCACCACCCUCAUUGACAAAUUAUAGCCCUUUUACAAGAUAGUCUAGGCUCGGAGGGAAAAAGAUACUUGGACAGAGCUUAUAGUCUAGGGUGGGGUGGGGUGGGGUGGGGGGGGGAAGAUACUUGGACAGGGUCACGUAGUCCACAUCCAAAUAGGGCGCCAGGCCCACAGGUACCCCCUCCAAUAGGAGGGUGGACAGGGCCUCAUCCAGCAUCUCAGGGUUGGAGAUCAUUCCUAGGUUGUUAUUACACCCCAAGCAGCACCCUUGUCCACUAAUUAGGGCAACCUCAUCGCUUCAAAAUCACACAUCUCAAGGAUGAGUAUUGUAGCUUGAAGUGAUUGAGGCGAUUUGGUGUGGGAGCUUUAUAUGUAAAAGGGGUCAUUUUCUUCCCAAAGGAGGACUUGAAAAUUGAGAGAGUUUAGAUUACUCGACUCAUACCAAUUUAUUCUAAUCUCACUGAAUAUUGUAAAAACCUCAUUUUACCCAAUAAAAUGUGGGAAUUGGUGCAAAUUAGGUCGGAUAUUUUAAUCGAAAUCGAACAUCUCGAAUUGGAACAAGGGGUUCGGGUUCGGUUCCAAAAAAUUAGGAAACAAGAACCAACUGGGCGUCGUAAAGUUCUUGGUUUCAAAUCAAAACCAUGGAUACUUCAUUUUGGAAUCAAAAUUUUUUUUUUUUGGGCAAUGUAUUAACUUACCCAAUGACGCUGACUAACAAGUAAUAAGUAACCAAAUUAAUCAGAUUUAUUCAUUUUUAAACCAUAUAAUUCUUGUCUGUAGCCACUUCUGACUAACUUUACGUGUUGCCCGCCCACAAUCCUUGUUGAGGUGCUGCGCACAGCCAUAACAUGAAUUUGAUGUUAUUUUACUAGAUACUUGAUGCUAUUUGGUAGCAUAUCGACAAUGGAUUAUGAAAGUGUUGAAAUAUGUAUUUGGCGGGUAUAUUUGUUUCUUCUAUUUCUACUAGAUAUUAAGAAAAUAAUUUGUAUUAUUGGCUAACGAUUUUAUUUGGAUUUUGACUUGAAAAUUGGAAAUUGAGGAAUUUCUUUCUUCUUGUGCAUGUUCUGUUCACAAUGUUAGACUGAAAUCUCAUUCUUGAAACCCCACAUUUGAACAGUACAAAACAUUCGUACGUCGAAACAUGGGCGCCUACAAGAAUUGAAAGGCAAUAAAAAUAAACAAGUCAUACAUGAAAUCAAAAGCCGGUCCUCUUCUAUCAUAUUUAAUUGAAAGAGACUCUCCUCCUAUAAAAGGGGACUCUCCUCCUUUGUUGUGGAUUAUCGAAAUUUUUCAGAAAAUAAAUCUUUGAGUUCCUUCAGAUUAUGAGUUUCUAAUUUCUCUUGUUUAUCAAUGAAAUCCGGAAUACUAAUAUUAGUUUUAUCAAUAAUGUUAAACCAGCAAUUUGAGCAGUAACAAAAGUAUGUUCUGCUAUUGCUUCUCUUGAAGAUCCUUAGCAUUAAAAAUUGUGCUGCAGACUAACGAUCAAUAAGGGAGAUUUGCAAUCCUAAGAGUCAGGCCAUGUAUUUGUAUGCCUCAGAUCUGAUUGUUUGUUGUGGGCUAGAAUAGCUGGAUUGCAUUUCUCUAUAGUUGGUAUCAGAGCCAGGUUCAAGAAUAGUUUCAUAAGGUAACACUUUCUCGGUCGAACUUAUCGCACGAGAAUUUGUCUAGUGCGGUUUAUCUUGUUGGCGUGGUUUGUAGGCUAUUGCGUCAACCCGAAAAUUUAUCCAGUGCGUACCCGAAAGGUAGCAGUUGCGGAUUCCCUGUAAAAAAGGAAAAAAAAAAAAAAAGGAAUAGUGUCAUAAGGCUGUUAAUAUAAUUUUUUUACCUUCACAACAUAUAGAAAUUAUAUUGACUGCAUUUCCAUGAAUUAAUGUAAAAAACACCAACAUACACACGGAUAAAUGCUAUAGUAGCUCCAUCUUGCCAACUGUAGGUACAACAAUUGCAAAGAAAGAACUGUUUGUGCUUGGGCUUUUCAAAACCAAAUCUCAAUACAAUUAUUGGAAAUUACAUUGUGACAGAUAUUCUCAAUUUCAUAAAGAAAAUUUUAUGUUUCAUCUUUUAUAAUUCAUGUUAUAAUUUAUUAUUUAAUUUUUAUUAAAUAAAUAUAUUAUUAGUAAUCAAUCAAACAGUUUGGAUUAAAAUUUAAUUUUAAUUUAAAAUAAAGUUAAACAAUCAAUAUUAAUCACACAUAUUUCAAAAACUUCCAUCACAAUUUAUAAAAAAAAAAUAUAUAUAAUUUUAAUCUCCACCAAAUAUCUCUAUGUACACUUUCUCCCUCUACUCUCUCUCUCAUCUCUCUUCCCUCUCCAUCUCCUAUGCCCUAAUCAAAAGGUAACACCAGUGUCACUGAUGAUGGUGCGAAGCAACAACGAUGGUGAUAAUUGCACCCUAAUUCUUCACUUGAUGAAGAACCCUAAUUUCGACGAUGAAUCAGCAAUGCCGCAUGCAGUUGUGGUGGUGAUGGAGUGAUGGUGGUGGUUGGUGGUGUGAUAUGUAUAAUUAAUUUUAUCGAGUGGUGGUGGUGUUUCUAACAAAGGGUUUUGGUUGGUGGUGGUGGUGUCUCCAUACAUCAAUUUUUUACUGUUUGUUUUGGUUGUGGAGAGAGUGGUGUUGGUGCAGCUAUGGGGCUCUCUGUACAUUCACUUUUGUAUCAAAAAAUAUAAACUUGGAAAUGACCUAUUUUGUUACAUUAUGGCAUCCCAUCUUUAUAAUUAUUUCAUCUGGUGAAGGAGUGAUACUGUGGUAGUGUUGGUAAUACUGAUGACGAUUGUGUUUCACAGGUCAUUGAGCAUGCCACAGAUUCACAGGUCACAAAUAAAUUAGAAUCAGUCACAGACCACUAAUUUAUAUUCAUAGGUCACACUUCAUGAGUUAUAUUUUAUAGAUCACAAAAACAAUUUUAACCGAUCACAAAUCAUAUGUGUCUUUAUGUCACAAAUUGGAGUUCACAGGUCACACUGUAUAUGUUACAGGUCAUAGGUAAUAGUUCAUAUGUCAUAUUUUAUAGAUAACAGAUCAAUAUCCACGGGUCAAAGAUUUAAGAAAAUUGAUUAUAGGUCAUUGGAUCAAUAUCACAAGUUACAAAUUAAAGAUCACAAGUUACAUGUAGUUGUUCACAGUUCACAGUCAUAGUGUACAGGUCACAAAUCCAUAACAACGGGUUUUUUUCAAUUUUCGUUAAUGCAACUCACGGUUUACAGGCCAAUGGUUCUUUUGAAUAUCACAGUUUACAGGAUAAUGGAGCUCUUCAAUUCCGUCACAGCAAGUCCCAAUCUAAGUCUCAACACCAUUUCAUAAAUUCAAAAGUAGGAAGGUACAACAACAAUUCAAUGUCAACCAUCACCAUUUGUGACUUCGAAACCCUUCAGAUCUAAUUCAAAGCCCUAGGCCAACAAUACAAUACAGCAACUCUGCAAUGUUAGCCAUCACUUUUUCAAAAAUACUGAUCUACAGUGACGAUAGCUUUCAAUUUGUGAUCUCAAUUAUCCGAUUAUUUUCAAUCUUCUCUCCAUUCCGGUAUGGUAAUUUUAGCAUACAGAAAAAGUGUUUUCAAGAAGCUUUCCAAGUUGACAGAGGAGGAGUGUCUGAAUUCUCCCACGUACCAAAACCAGGACCAUAUCUAUCACCCUUGACUGCAUCAGCUGAAGUAAUAGAAUCAAGUUCAGCCAUGUCUUCUUUCGUCAGUUGUACAGACAACGCUUCUAUGUUUUUUUUGAGAUUUUCGAUUUUCGAGGUACCAGGUAUGGGGCACACAUCAGUUCCUUGAUGAUGGAUCCAUGCUAAAGCUAGCUGUGAAGGGGUGCACCCCUUUCUAUUUGCCAUAUCAUUGACUCUCUCAAACAAUCUCUUAUUAUGCUCCAGAUUUUCGGGUUGGAAUCUUGGAAGAUGCUGCAAAAGCCACAAAGCACAUCUUUCAAAGCCGAAACUAUAACCACACCUAACAAAAAGAUGUUGAGCUAUAUACUAUAGUUAGUGUUGUAGAUUUUAUCCAAAAACAAAUACAGCCCUUGUUUGAGCCCCAUUUUGGGAGAGAAAAUGAAUUUUUGAAUAGUGUAUUGAUAGGAAAUGUGUGGUUAAAAAAUAAGGACAAUAUUUUGAUUUACGUGUAAUAUUAUUUUAUUGAAGAAUGUGUAGUUAAAAUGAUGUCAAAUCACUGUUGAAGAAUGUAUUUUUGUGGAAAAAAGGGGUUCAAACAAGGGCACAUUUUGGGUGUGGGAUGAAUUCGGCCUCUAAACACAGUAGGCAAAAUUACCUAAUAUUAUCCAUCUGCAACAACAUAACUUUAUUAGACUUUUUAAUUCCAAAGAAUCUUAGCUAUAUAUGUAUCAUAUAUAAAUAGUUGUUGGUUUGCACAACAAAUACACAAUAUAUUUAUAGUUAAAAUUGAAACUCAGAAUGAAUCGAAGUAUAAAGCAAACAAACCUUUCGAGGGUCCUCUUCAGGUAAAGUUUCAACCAUUUUUGGACCGGAGGACAAGAAUCCCCGUCCAAGAGGACUGUAUGCUACUAUUCCAAUUCCAAGUUCUCUAACAAUUGAACCAAGGAUAGAGUCAGAAAUUUAUAUACCAUAGUGGCUAAAAAAGGGAAAAAUGAUAACAAUAAUAAUCAAACCUGCAAGUGGGAAUUAUUUCUUUCUCCGCGUCUCUUGACCAUAAAGACCACUCCAACUGCAUUGCUGUUAUUGGAUGAACAGCAUGUGCUCUUCUGAUUGUUGAAGCCGAGGCCUCUGAUAGGCCUAUAUAUUUUACCUUACCUUCUUCCACUAGUUUCUUUAGUUCUCCGAUCUUGCAUAAAGAGGUAUCCAAUGGAAGAAAAAGGGACUUAAAUAAGAAACACGAGGAAUCAAAUAAGAGCUAAUACUAAAAUUUACAAUAUGCAGAUUAUCAAUUUCAAGAAGUACGAAAAUGAUGAGCUUGAUGCGAUCUUUCAUCAAAUAACCAUAGCGUUUAGAAACAAAAAAAAGAAAGCAAGAUAAGGCUUUUUGUAACAGGAAAAGUAGAAGAGAACAAGGACACGAGGAUUUAUAGUGGUUCGAUCAACCUCAAAAAGUUAAGGAACAGCAAUCUUUUUUUCGGAAAUUGGAUUCUGAAGUUGAUCGAGAAAUCAAUUAUCAAAAUUGAAGUUUUUUAUUUGGCCUAAUUGUUUGUAUGAAUUUUCCAUUGGUUUGAUAUCAAUAAUAAUGGCAAUUUUUUGGGAAUAUUAGGGAUACGCGAGAUACAUAAACACGAAGGAGAAUAAGGGCUAACCGUGACUUCGAUAGGUACACGUGUGUCAAUGCGAUGUUGGUAAUAAAGAUCAAUGCAAUCAAUAUCAAGCCGCUUCAGGCUGGCCUCGCAGGCAGCUCGUACAUAAGCAGGGUCUCCUUGUACAAACAUCUGGCCAUCCUGAAAGUAAUCCCAAAUUUUGUAGCCAACUCCACUUUCUCCCUCAUCCCAUCCUUCAAAGCCUUUUCAAUUUGAUAGCAAACAGUACAUAAACACACUGGCGUCAAUAAGAAGUGCAGAACAAUAAGUAAACAAACCAGAGUAAGGCCAAGAACAGUCUCCAGUAAGUUCAUAAGAAACUUACCUCAAAAUCAAAAUUAGUUUGAAAUUAAUUAUUAAAUCAACGUUAUAUUGCUUCCAUCGGAACUACAUGUUGCAGUAUCAUAAAAUCCUCGUUGCAGCAUUUAGUCAAACAUGAUAAACGCAUGACGUUCAAAAAUUGUAUAGAAAUAUGGGGAGAGAUAGUACCUUCCCGAGGAAGAUUUCAUUAGUGUGCGGCCCAUAGACAUCGGACGUGUCAAGGAAGGUGAUGCCGGAGUUAAUGGCAUGGUGAGCGAGCUUGAUCAUUUCGGCUUCCGGCUUGGGCGUGCCAGAGAACACGGACAUGUUCAUGCAUCCGAGUCCUUGAGUAGACACUUCCAGUCCCUGUGAACCCAGCUUGAUUCUGGGCACUUUUACACUGCUUUCUGCUGUCAUUAUACUGGAAUCUGAAGGGUUUUUCAGGUAGAGGAAGAAAUGGAAUUACAGGGUAUUCCUCCUGAUUUAUAAAGAAAACUGCUAUCGAUGCCACUGAUCCAUGGCAGCUGACUGUCAUUUCAUCAUUUUCUUACUUUUGGAUUAUAAUUUAGGAGGAUUGACGUAAGUGACUACGUAAGAAAUAGUAAAAAGGACUAAGUUGAAAUCUGUGGCAGUGUCGAAAGAAUUAGCUAUUACGACCCCGUUUAAGUAGCAGUGCCCGUGUCGAAAAGGAAUUACACAUUUCUAUUGGGAUUCUCUCUGCUUUGGGUUGUACUGCUUGAAAACCCCCCGGACAAGAGUCAAGCAGUAUAAUUCCUCCGCAUCUCCUUCCAUGGAAGGAGAAAGUUCAUUUAGGCCCCUUUGUUACUCAUUUUUUUUAAAAUAUAUUUCUCUCUCUCGUCUAUUCAACAAUAUAUUUUUUAUUAGAAUAAUAUUACACGUAAAUAAAAAACUUUUCCUUAUUUUUCAAUCACAUAUUUUCCAUCAAUUUACUAUUCAAAAAUGUAUUUUUACAUAAAAAUAUCUCCCAAACACCCUCUUAGAUAAUUACGUCGAAGUGUAAUACAUGGAUUGCUUCCUGUUUAAUGUCAAUAUGAUUUACAAUUUGGUGUUCUAUAGCUUUAGGGGGGUGUCCUCAAUCUAGAGUUUGAUGGAUUUUAAAACUCCAUAUAAAUUGAAGUAUCCUCAAUUCAAAUUUAAAUAUAAUUCAUUAAAAUAUAGGUGUCCCCAAUUUAGAUUUUUAAAAAUACUUAUAAAUUUAGGUGUCCUCAACAUAGAUUUUAAUAGGUAGUUUUGAAAUUCAGAUGUCCUCAAUAACUAGUUAAUUUUAAAAAAUUCAUUAAGUAGAUAGAUUAUGAUAGAUUUUGAAAGAUUUCAAGGUAAAAAUAUAAGUAAAAAGAAUCAGUAACAAUUUUAACCCAAACCUAAAAAUUUCACAAUAUUUCUCACCUCUCUCCAUAUUUGCUGCCUUCUCUCUCUCUCUCUCUCUCCCCCCUCCCCCCCAGUCUUGAACAAAAUUUUCUUCGUCUUUCUAUCUCACAUUUCUCUACUGUGAAAUGAUCGUGUAUGAGAACUUUUCAAUUGAUGAUAAUUUAUGAAAGGCUACUAUUUUUUGUUGAAUAUUGGGUGUGAUUUUUUAUUGAACUUAUUUUUUCUUAUUGAAGCUAUUUAUUGUUUACUAUUUUAUAGAUGUGCUGGAAAUUAUCAUAGUAAUUUACAAUUUCUAGUAUGCAUGCUGGAACAACUUCGUCUUUCAAGUUCUGUAUCCUAUUCCCUUUUCUUGGGAAAGAGCUGUGUGUUUUCUAUAUAUAUCUACAAAUCCUAGCCAAGAUAUGUGAGGAUGGUAUCCCACAAUUUUUUCUUUUGUGUCUGCAUGGUCAAUGAGAAUUCUGGGGGUAUGAAAUUAAUUGUCUUGUGGUCAUGUAUGUGUACAUCUGUGUGUUUGUAUCUCACAAGGUUGUGGCCUUUUGAACUAAUUCAUAUUGAUUACGACUUUGAUUGUUUAACACUACAUAUUUUUGUCCUCUCCCACUCUCGCAUUUUGUUGAAUAUUGGGUAUAUUUUUUUAUUGAAGUUCUGUUAUAAUAUUCAAUAUUUAACAAAAAAUUAAACAAGGAUUCGAUCAUUUUCUGUGAUUUAUUAACGUGCAUAUGUGUAAGAAUGAGUCGUUAAAGAAGAAGUAAAAAUUUGUGGCUUAUGUUAAGCAUAUUUAUAAAUUUUACCCAAAAUCUAUAAAAUCCAUUGAAAUCUAUCCAUGAAAAUCUUUUAAAAUCUACAAAAUAGAAAUCCAUUCAAAUCUUAUGAAAUCUAUUAAAUUUCACACAAUCCAUGAUAAUUUAUAAAUAUUAAGAAAUCUAUUAAACUCUGAAAUGGGGAUACCCCUGUUAGUUUCACAUCAUUUUUGAAAUGUUAAAAGUAUUUGAAAUCCAAAAACAGCUUUUAAACUCAUUUGACUAAUUUUAUAAAAAUAUUUUUUUUAGUUUGAAGAGUUUUUUUAAAAAAAUUAAUCUAAUGACUUCCUCUAAAAUUCAGAGCCAGCCCUAGGACCAAGCCAACCAGGCAAUGGCUUAGGGCCUCUAAUCCUAUAGGGGCCUCACAAUGGAAGAAACUACAUUCCCAACUAAAAGAUGAAUUAAUUAAAUUUUUAUUUGUCUAUAAUUUAUCGGUUAUAAUUUAGUUCGAGCUUAUUCAAAAUAACUUCUUCUUUUCUUUUCUUUUUUUUUUUCAAUUUUAAUAUACAUAAUUAAUUAUGAGCUAUCAAAUGAGCCCAAUAUUUUUAUAGUAAUAUGGUUUAAUUUGGAAACUAAUAUUACACAUUAAGUACUUUACUUUAAUGAGUUAUAACUACUAUUUGGUUUAUUCAAAUUAGUUUUUUCUCGAGUCCAUAAUGUACAAUUUAUUACGAGUUUCGAAAUGAGUCCAAUAUUGAUAAGAUAAUUUCCAAUCCUCCAAUGAAUGCUCAUUUUGGAUGGUACCAUGUUUUCUUUUAAAAUAUAGAUAUAUAAUUUAUUUAAUAUUUAUUAUUUUUACGAUUGAAAAAAAAAUUAUGUUUAAGGGUCUCAAAAUUCUCAGGGUCUGUCCUGCUAAAACAACCUCUGAAAUAGAAAGUACUUUUAAAGGUUUCUUCAAAUAAAAACUCUGGUUGCUUUCUUCAAAAACUUUGCUAUGGAACACAAAAGUAAAUGUAAGUCCUUGUUUGAGUCCCAUUUUUAAGGAAAUAAUAAAUUUUUGAAUGGUGUAUUGAUGAGAAAUAUGUGGUUAAAAAAUAAGGAAAAAUUUUGCAUUUACUUGUAAUAUUAUUUUAUUGAAGAAUGUGUUGAAAUGAUGUCAAAAUACUGCUGAAAAAUAUAUAUAUUUUUUAAAAGAAUGAGGCUCAAACAAGGACUAAAUGUCAUGCCAAAGAACUGUCCCUCAUUUUUUAAAUCUUAUUUUUCCUCAAAAGUCAUUUUUAGCCCCCGUUCGAGCCCUAUUAUUUGUAAAUUAUAAUGAGAUGAAUAAUAUUUUUUUUUUUUUAAAAUAAGUGGUUAAAAAGUUUUUGAUUUAUGUAUAAUAUUAUUAUAUUGAAAAUUAUGUGAUUAAAAGUAGGAGAGAAAAAUUUAAUUUAAUGUAAUAAAAAAUAAUAGGGGGGCUUAAUCACACAUGAGAUUGAAAUCAAAUUAAAAAUCUGAUUUUAGUUAAAAAUCAAACAUGAGUUAGUGCGUUCGGUGACUAGACUAUUUAGGUCCUUUGAUAGCAUGGCAUGUAAGAGAUUGAAAUCAUGGUCGAGGAGAUGCUUCAGUCGCCAUCUUAGUUUGGCAGCUUUCGUCUCUGUAUUAGUCAAUUUGUUGCUAUAGUCUUUGAAACAAGGGAAAAUUGUAGAAAUGGUCCCUAAUUUUUUUUAUUUUUGCAGACUUUAUCCAAACCUUCAUUUUGUGCUAGUGAUAUACACCCGAGGUCCUUUUCGAUGGAAACCGUCCAAAACACUUUCAGUUGACCCAAAAACUAUCUUUUUGGACGGUGUGUUGGACAGUUUUAUUGGCUGUUGAUUCCUUAAUUUUUCAAGUCAAUUGAUGGUGUUUCAGAAACUUUCCAUCCAAGUCGACCUCAGGUGCAUAUCUAUGAAAAGUUAGGAACCUUCACUAGGACACAUUGAAGGUUAGACUAAAGUCUGUAAAAAAUGAAAAAGUUAGGGACCGUUACAGCAAUUUUUCCUUGAAACAUAAGUAGUCAAGUGGUCCAUUGAUGCUAGUUAUUUAUAAUGAUGAUGUGUCAUACAGAUCUAGAAGAAUGAGUACAAAUUUAUUUAGGAGGGUGUCCUCAAUCUAGAGUUUGAUGGAUUUUAAAACUCCAUAUAAAUUGAAGUACCCUCAAUUCAGAUUUAAAUAUAAUUCAUUAAAAUAUAGGUGUCCCCAAUCUAGAUUUUUAAAAAUACUUAUAAAUUUAGGUGUACUCAACAUAGAUUUUAAUAGGUAGUUUUGAAAUUUAGAUAUCCUCAAUAACUAGUCGAUUUUAAAAGAUUUCAUUAAGUAUAUAGAUUUUGAUAGAUUUUGAAGGAUUUCAAGGUAAAAAUAUAAGUACAAAAAAUCAGUAACAAUUUUAACCCAAACCUAAAAAUUUCACAACAUUUCUCACAUCUCUCCAUAUUUGCUGCCCUCUCUCUCUCUCUCUCUCUCUCUUCCCCCCCACCCCCACCCCCAUUCUUGAACAAUAUUUUCUUCUUCUUUCUAUCUCACAUUUCUCUACUAUGAAAAGAUAGUGUAUGAGAACUUUUCAAUUGAUGAUAAUUUAUGAAGGAUUACUAUUUUUUGUUGAAUAUUGGAUGUGAUUUUUUAUUGAACUUAUUUUUUCUUAUUGAAGCUAUAUAUUGCUUACUAUUUUAUAAAUGUGUUGGAAAUUAUCAUGGUAAUUUACGAUUUCUAGUAUGCAUCUGGAACAACUUCGUUUUUCAAGUUCUGUACUAUAUUCCUUUUUCUUGGGAAGAGCUGUGUGUUUUUCUAUAUAUACCUGCAAAUCCUAGCCAUGACAUGUGAGGAUGGUAUCCCACAAUUUUUUCUUUUAUGUCUGCAUGGUCAAUGAGAAUUCUGGAGGUAUGUAAUUAAUUGCCUUGCGGUCAUGUAUGUAUACAUCUGUGUGUUUGUAUCUCACAAGGUUGUGGCCUUUUGAACUAAUUCAUAUUGAUUACGACUUUGAUUAUUUAACACUACAUAUUUUUGUCCUCUCCCACUCUCGCAUUUUGUUGAAUAGUGGGUGUAUUUUUUUUUAUUGAAGCUCUAUUAUAAUACUCAAUGUUUAACAAACAAUUAAACAAGGAUUCGAUCAUUUUCUGUGAUUUAUUAACGUGCAUAUGUGUAAGAAUGAGUCGUUAAAGAAGAAGUAAAAAUUUGUGGCUUAUGUUAAGCAUAUUUAUAAAUUUUACCCAGAAUCUAUAAAAUCUAUUGAAAUCUAUAAAAUCCAUGAAAAUCUUUUAAAAUCUACAAAAUAGAAAUCCAUUCAAAUCUUAUGAAAUCUAUUAAAUUCUAUGAAAUUUCACACAAUCCAUGAGAAUUUAUAAAUAUUAAGAAAUCUAUUAAACUCUGAAAUGGGGACACCCCCGUUAGAUGAUGUCUGACAAGGAUUAAAAUUAGAUUUUUUAAUAAAUUUUGAUAGAAAUUUUUGAAACAACCCUACUUUUUGGCCAAGUAACUAGGCCAAAAAAUAGGGGCGCCAUGUGAAGGGGCUAUUUUAACUUGGCCUUGUGACUUUUUUGUUUUUGAAAUGUGUGGUUGAAAAUUUGUAGGAUACAUGAAAGAUUAUGUUAAUAUUAAUUGUUUGAUUUUGACUUAAAUUUAGAUUAAAAUCAAAAUUUAAUCCAAACCAAACAAGCGCUAAGUUUUUUUUUUUUUUUUUUUUUUUUCCAUUUUUGAUUUUUUAUGAAAUAAUAAACUAUACCCAUUUUUAUGAGGGAUCAGAUUCUUUUUAUUUCACUAUCAUAAUAGUGAUUAAAAUCUUCUGUAUAAUCUAUUAGCGUCGUGAGAUAGAUAUGAGAAAGAUGAAUAGUUUAUUUAAAAUUCUAUAAAGCAAAAUAAAGAGAAGAGACGCAAAAGAAUAUACAUUAAAGGAGACUAGCUCCAUAGCAAGCAAAUCAAUCCUUCAAUAUACGUUAGUUAUAUUUGGCGAAUAAUAUCAAAGUCGAAACGAUUUUAAAAAUAAAAUUCCAAAGUUAAAUUACUUCGAAAACUCGACGAUAAAUAUUGUUAUAUGCAAAAGAGGCAAUUUACACAUUGGAUAAAACAUGGCGCAAGACAUAUACAAGUUGGCAUCCACCUCGAAGAGUUACAAGGGGGCGACUAUAGUCGCACAAUGUUAAUAACCGUCGAUAAAAAUACUCACAAAGCAUUAUAGUCGCACAAUGUUAAUAACCGUCGAUAAAAAUACUUGUAAAAAGGGAAAGAUAACGGAAUAAAAGAAAGGGAUAAUUAAUGAUUGCACUUAAGUGGCUCCUCUCCCAACUUGCGUAACCACCACCCUCCUCCACUGAUCACGGCAACCUCAUUGCCUGAAAAUCACACAUCUCAAGGAAGAGUGUUGUAGUUUGAAGUGAAUGAGGGGAUUUGAAGGGGAGCUUUCCUCAUAUAUAGAAGGGGUCAUUUUCUUCCCAAGGAAGAUUCGAAGAUUGAGAGAGUUCAGAUAUUUCGGAUUGCUCAGGUCAUGCCAAUUUAUUCUAAUCUCGCCGAAUAUUGUAAAACCCUCCUUUUACUCAAUAAAAUAUGGGGAAUUGGUGCAAAUUAGGUUGGCCAUUUUAUUCGAAACUGAACAUCCCAAUUCGGUUCGAGUUUGAUUCCAAAAAUAUUAGAAAACGAGAAUCGAUCGAGUCCCAUACGGUUCUUUGUUUCAAAUCGAAACCAUGGAUACUUGAAUCAUUUUAUUUUUUUGGGGGCGUUGGAAGAGGAGGGGCGGGGCGGGCCAAUGUUUUAGCUCUUAGCCAAUGACCCUGCCCAACAAAUAGCAAGUCAAUCAAUUGGAUUCAUUCAUUUUUUAAGUCACAUCACUCUUGUUUGUAGCCACUUUGGACUGACUUUACGUGUUGCCCACCCCACAAAUCCUUGUUGAGAUGUCGCACACGGUGCUACAACAGGAAUUUGAUGUUAUUUUACUGGAUACUUAAUGCUAUUCGAUAGCAUAUUUACAAUGGAUUAAGCUCCCAUUUGGCCCCCUAUUAUUUCAAAUUAUAUUUUUCUCUCUCUCUCUCUCUCUCUCUCUUAUUUUCAAUCACACAAUUUUUUAAAAAAUAAUAUUACAUGUCCGAUUGACUCCUAACACUCUCGAAUCUUCAUCGUAAGGUUCAACCAAACUUUUUAAUAUCUGCACUUUAAUCCUCAAACUUUAAUUUUGCUUUAUUUAACCCACUUUUUCUUGUAAUUUUAUUCCUUUAUCUUCAAUUGUAUACCAUUAAAGCCUUGGCAUCUUCAAUCUCCAUUUCAUUGUUCGUCUCAUCUAUGGAUCAUUUGCAACUUGGUCCCUGUCUUUUGGAUUUCACACUUUUUCUGGGUUUUCUUUUUGUUUCUUCCAAUUCUUUGUUCAAUCAUUGAACUUUACCUGUUUAACAUAAAACACAACAAUUUAAGAUAUAUUUUGUCAAAAGAACCAGUAAUUACCCUAUUUUAUGCUCAAAGUAGGUGUAUAAAAUACACUUAUCAUGAGCAAUAGGAUUGUCCGAUCAAAAUUUCUCUAGUUAGACAUGCACAUGCAAUCCAAGUGAGUACUAUUUAGAUGGGUACAAUAUGUAACCACAAAUAAUUUUACAAUAAAACUAAGCUCUCAUUUGUCCUCCAUUAUUUCAAAUUAUAAUUUUCUCUCUUAUUUUCUAUCACACAAUCUUCUAUAUAUAUAUAUAUAUAUACACACACUAUUUCAAAAAUUAUAAAUUGAAAUAAUGAGGGCCAAAUUGGGGCUAUCGAGACAUGUUCAAUUUACUAUGUUAGACUAUGAAAUCUCAUCCUUGAAAGCCCACAUUUGAAAGCAAACAUAAGAACAUUAAAGAGGGUGUUUGGAAUACAUUUUUAUGUAAAAAUGUAUUUUUCAAUAGUAAAUUGAUGGAAAAUAUGUGAUUGAAAAAUAAGGAAAUUUUUUUUAUUUACGUGUAAUAUUAUUUUAAUAAAGAAUAUGUGGUUGAAAAAAAAAGAGAGAAAAAUGCAUUUUGAAAAAAAUGGAUACCAAACGUGGCGAAAACAUGGGCGCCUACAAGAAUUGAAAGGCAAUAAAAAUGAACAAAAUUAUCCAAGAAGUCAAAAGCCGGUCCUCUUCCAUCAUAUUUAUGGUGACCUUGUCCCUACUCUCUAAGGUUCAAGAAUAGUUAGUCAGAAGGCUCGUAGUAUAAAUAUUCAAAUGUGCUACCUGCAUGGUCCACUCCCAUGUGACAACCCUUGUACAGGCCCUGUGCAGGGAGCUUUUUCCAUAAAUGUUUUACCUUCUCAACAAAUAGAAAUUAUGUUGACAGCAUUCCAAGGAUCAAUGUAAACACGCACACACAUGCGUAAACAUAAAUGCCAUAGUACUUGCCAACUGUAGGUUCAACACUUGCGAAGAAAGUACGACACUUUUAAUCUGCAAUCCAGAUGACUGUAGUUUGAAAACCAAAUCACAAUACAGUUAUAAAAGAUCGCCAUUUAAUGGAAACUGCUUGCUCAGUACGUUGUAAUGCCAAUUUUAUUUCAAUCUUCUCUCCAUUCCAGUAAGGUAAUUUUAGCAUACAGAUUAAGUGGUUUCACACAGCUUUCCAAGUUGACAAAGGAGGAGUGUCUGAAUGCUCCCACGUACCAAAACCAGGAGUAUAUCUAUCACCUUUGACGGCAUCAGCUGAAGCGAUAGAUUCGAGUUCAGCCAUGUCUUCUUUCGUCAGUUUUAUAGACAACGCUUCUAUGUUUUUAUUGAGAUUCUCGAUUUUUGUGGUACCAGGUAUGGGACACACAUCGGUUCCUUGAUGAUGAACCCAUGCUAAAGCUAGCUGUGAAGGCGUGCACCCCUUUCUAAUUGCCAUAUCAUUCACUCUCUCGAACAAUCUCUUAUUAUGCUCCAGAUUCUCGGGUUGGAAUCUUGG
rnacentral:lncRNA from 1 species